rnacentral:lncRNA from 1 species
UCUCUAUGUCAAGCUGCGCUUUCAUGAUCAUCAACUACAUACACAAAUCCUUCCUCUGUCAUCCAUUAAAUCCACCGAUUCCACCAAUUCCUAUAUGCUUCCUACAUCAUAAUGAAAUGAUGCAUGCAUGGUUUGGAAUUUAAGGUCAGCCUUAAUAAUAUUAUUAUUAGCUUCAUAGCAACUAGGGGUUUAUCUAACGAAAUGAUGCAUUCAUGGUUUGGAAUAAUCCAAGGUCAGCCUUAAUAAUAUUAUUAUUCGCUUCAUAGCAUCUAGGGUUUAAGCUAAUGAAAAAAUGAUGCAUGCAUGUUUUGGAAUUCAAGAUUAGCCUUAAAAAUAUUAUUAUUAGCUUCAUAGCAACUAGGGUUUAAGCUAAUGAAAGAUGCGUGCAUGGUUUGGAAUUCAAAGUUAGCCUUAAAAAUAUUAUUAGUUUCAUAGCAACUAGGGGUUUAUCUAACAAAAUGAUGCAUUCAUGGUUUGGAAUAAGUGAAGGUCAGCCUUAAUAAUAUUAUUAUUAGCUUCAUAGCAACUAGGGUUUAUGCUAAUGAAAAAAUGAUGCAUGCAUGGUUUGGAAUUCAAGGUUAGCCUUAAAAAUAUUAUUAUUAGCUUCGUAGGGUUUAAGCUAAUGAAAUGAUGCAUGCAUGGUUUGGAAGUCAAGGUCAGCCUUAUAAUUAUUAUUAACAUUUAUUAGCUUAGUAACCAUUAAAUUCGAUUCCUCUCUAUCAUUACUUGCCCCGACUCUUUCUCUCUCAAUCUGUGAAUCUCUCAUCAUGUCGACGACUCUGCAAUUCUGCCGUCUAUGCACGCGUACUGACACAGCUUCGCGCCAUAAUAAUCGCGCCAGAGUGCUGGCUCUCCGGCGCCGGCAGCCUGUGAACGUCAGAAGCUCCGGUCAAGAAUUGCCGAGCUCGGCGGUGGCUGUUGGUGCCCAAUUUGACGCGAAACAAUUUCGUCAUAACCUGAUGAGAAGUGAUAAGUAUAAUCGGAGAGGAUUUGGCCACAAAGAAGAGACUACGGAGCUCAUGAAUCAACAGUACGCAAGUAAGAUUUUCAUUUUUUUCUGUUUAAAUCAAUUUUUUUACUGGAUUUUCUUUUGUUUAUUCAGUAGGACAUGAAAUUGUUGUUACUUAAAUUUCUUUAUUUUAGCUAAUUAUUCAGCUUAGUUUUAAAUGGAUAGAUUCAGGAAUAAAAAUAAAAAUAAAAAAUCAAAGAAAUUUGUGUGAUUUUUACUUCCUCUGCUUGCUAUUCAAUGACCUUUUUUUUUUGGUUUUUACCAUUUCAUUUAAGAAAGCUGGAUCAAUCAAUGAUUUAUCUUUUGUUGGACUCAUCAUCAGUUUGUGAAUAACAAAUGUUUAGAGAGAUUUGGUGAAAUCAAGUGUUUCUAUUUGGCGUUGGUGUUAUUGUGGUGAUGAUUAUUUUAUUGAUUUCAUUGAAAAUUCUUUCAGGUGAUAUUAUAAAGAAAUUGAAGGAGAAUGGAUACGAGUAUACGUGGGGAAAUGCUACGGUGAAGCUGGCCGAAGCAUAUGGCUUUUGCUGGGGAGUUGAGCGUGCUGUGCAGAUUGCUUAUGAAGCAAGAAAACAGUUUCCCGAUGAGAAGAUCUGGAUCACCAGUGAAAUCCUUCACAGUCCACCCAUCAAUAAGGUCUUUAAAAAACAAAACCAAUACUUCUUUUAUAAUAUUUUUAAUUUAAAUAUUUUUGCGCCCUGCUGUUUGUUAAGUUGAUCAUUUACUCAUUUUCAUGGUUAUGGAUUGUAAAGAGUAGAUCUGUAUUGAUGAAACUGUUACGCUCUUUGUUUCAAUCAUGAUUUGAUUCUUUCAUUACUAUAUCCUACUAAAAUGAUUACUGAGGCUCUUAAGUCAUACAUGGCAGCGGUUGGAGGAGAUGGAAGUUAAAAAUAUACCUGUUGAGGAAGGAAAGAAGCAAUUUGAUGUGGUAAAUAAGGGUGAUGUUGUGGUUUUGCCUGCAUUUGGGGCUGCAGUCGAAGAAAUGGUGACUCUGAAUGACAAGAAUGUACAGAUCGUUGAUACAACUUGCCCUUGGGUGUCGAAGGUACCUUUAGCUGAGACAGAUCAGCUGUUAUUAUAAUUAUUCAUUUGCCUGAUUAUAUCUUCAAUCCCUCUUCAUGUUACAUAUUGUAUAUAAGUUUAAAAUUUUUGUUAAGGUCUGGACUACUGUUGAGAAGCACAAGAAGGGAGACUAUACUUCAAUUAUUCACGGUAAAUAUUCUCAUGAGGAAACUGUAGCAACUGCAUCUUUUGCAGGAAAGUAUAUCAUAGUCAAGGAUAUGAAAGAGGUAGGUUCGGAAGGUGGAUUAUAUUAUAUUUUCUGGAGAAUCUGUAGAGCACUAUUAGGAGAUAUUCAUUAGAAUGUUUUUUUCUUUUCAAUUGUUAUUAUUUAAUCCAGGCUGAGUACGUGUGUGAUUACAUUCUUGGGGGUGAACUUAAUGGAUCUAGCUCAACAAAAGAAGCAUUCCUUGAGGUAUGAGUUUUGUCGCUUACUUGACCGUGAAUGUUGACAAUUUUUGACGAGUUUUGCAGAUAUUGAUAUAGUUAUUUGCUUGCCUACAGAAAUUCAAGAAAUCUGUUUCAAAAGGGUUUGAUCCAGACAUUGACCUGGUAAAAGUUGGCAUUGCAAACCAAACUACAAUGAUCAAGGGUGAAACAGAAGAGAUUGGUUAGUUGCACUAAUGCUGAUGUCAACCCAUCUGUUUCCAAGAAAGUAUUGGCUUCUGAUAUUUGAGCAAUUUUUCAUUGUUACAGGAAAAUUAGUGGAGAAGACCAUGAUGCGUAAAUUUGGAGUUGAAAAUGUCAAUGAACACUUCAUAAGCUUCAACACAAUUUGUCAUGCUGCACAAGUAAUUUCUUCUCCGUCAUGGUUUUUCCCUUUCAGAUUUUUAUAAUUUUGUGUCAUAGAUCUUCCUGUCCACUGCAUGUCUUUUAACGCACUUAAUAAAACCCAGAAUGUUCAACUUCGAUAUGCUAAACCUAACAACGUAGUUGACAGUUUGUUUUCAAUGACCGAACUGCUCCGCCAGCAAUACUCAGCCGCUAGUUAAUCUGCAAGUUGUGUACCAUUCUGUUGUGUUCAGUAAAAUUUAAGCUAAUGAUUUUGGUCUCAAUUUUUGCAGGAGCGACAAGAUGCAGUGUAUAAGUUGGUUGAGGAAAAGAUCGAUCUUAUUUUGGUUGUUGGUGGGUGGAACUCGAGCAAUACAUCAAGCCUUCAAGUGAUUGCAGAAGACCGUGGAAUUCCCUCAUACUGGAUCGACAGUGAGAAGAGGAUAGGUCCCGGAAACAAAAUGGCAUAUAAAUUGAUGGUACGUAUUGAAUUUUACUUGCAUCAACAGAGUAAUUUUUAAGUUUCAAAAUUUCGUUAUUAAUUAUCUGUGUUUGUUAUCCCGUAUGUAGCAUGGCGAGCUGGUGGAGAAAGAAAAUUGGCUGCCGAAAGGACAGAUCACAAUCGGGGUGACAGCCGGUGCCUCCACCCCAGAUAAGGUAAUUUCUUACGCAGGAAAUUUCUAAAUAGAUUCUUGCUUACCUUGACCUUAUUUUCUCAUUCUUGUAUUCCUAAUUUACCAUGCCACAGCUAAUUACAUCAUUUUCGUAAGCUGACUGUAAAUUUUAAAGCUGUUUAACUUAAAGAUUGUUAUAAUUUUCCUCCCUGUGUCUUAUCCAGGCUAUUGAAGGUGUCCUUAAAAAGGUAUUCGAGAUCAAGCGUGAAGAAGCCUUGCAAUUACCGUAAACUGAGGUCCAAACAUACAUAUUAUCAAUAAAUUUCAACGUGAUUGGAUAACUAGAUAUUUUAAAAUAAACACAGCCUCUGCUGGGUCUUUUCUUAGUGUCCGAAAUUUACAGUUUUUGCGUAAUAUGAAGUUAGUGAUUGCAAUUUCUAACCAGCACGAUAUGAUAAAAACCCGUGUGAUUAUCCUUCAAGCCUUUGCAUGCAAGCAUGCAUACGUGACUUCAUGCAUGAUAUUGUCCUUUGUUUGCACACGUGACUUCAUGCAGAUAUUUUGGAUUCCUCUUGAUGGCACGUUGCGAAGCCCAUGCAUAUUUUGGAUUCCCCUUGAUGAUCAAGUGAAAUGUUCACUAAAUAUCUCAACUCAAAGUAUUAAUUACCAUAACAUUACAGCUGAUGCAAGUGAGAGUUUCACAAAACUGGCCAAUGACUUGAAAGCCCUCAAAGAAAAGCCAGUCCAUGCAUGUGGGAAAACAUCCAGAAGUUACAUAAACUACUAGUCCUACGACCGUAAGCCAUAAAGAAAUAUCCCCAGCAAUUAAUGGCUGCACCAACAAUGCCGUAAUUGAGCUUUGCCACCAGAAUCCAAUUUAAAAACACGUGAACUAUUAAUGCUGCCAUCGAAAUCACAGUCGUGACCCAAACUCUGCUUUGCAAUUGUAGAAAUUUCUGUAUUGAAGGGUUUAUAGCAUGAGCAAACAGUUGCGGAACUAUCCAUUUAGAUUAACUUCUGAAAUUUCCUUUUCUUGGCUUAGUAGCUUUAAAGAUGGUGUUGCAAAGAUAUAAAAAGGCAUUAGAUACAAAGCUGUGGCGCAAAUUCAACUUCAUCCAGAUGACCAACAAAGGCAGCGGUUACAAAGGUGAUUGAGAAUUCAGAUCCUGAGGCUAAAAUCACAGGGCCAGCAAUUUCCCAUAUCUUCUUUGAUUCAUUCCAGCUUCUUUCUCUGAAGUUUUUGUGACUCCCCAAGUCAUCAUCUUGUUCCCUUGUCUUUGCCUCUAUCUCAAAUGUCUGGCGCUUCUCCGCCAUUAAUGCUGCUGUCUCUUCCUCAUUUUCUUCCAUCAAACACCUCUCACCCUUGCUCUCGGCCUGUACUCUUUCUUUUAAUGAGUGUGAGGAUUUGUUUGUGUUAAAAAAGCUCAUCAUGCUUGCUGUACAAUAAGUAAAGCAGAAGAUAAAGCAGAGGAUUACAGCAAGAAUAGCAUACGGUUGAAAGUUGAUGAUCUGGACGUCCAGCUGGCACCUGGUGGUUACGUAGUUACAAGCACACGUGAAGACUAGCUUAAUUUGUUAUAAUUAGCAAUUGUUAAUUAGUAAUUAGUUACAUAAUGAGCUGUUACUUCAGCUGAGUAUAUAAAUAGCAAUGUAUUCUCAUUCUGUAAAAAAAUUCAGAUUGGUUGAAUAAUGAUUCCAGAACUUUCUCAAUCCAUUCUUUCAUUCUCUUAGCCUUUCUCUCAAUUUUCUCACUUGCCAAACACUCAAUAAACAAUUUUAACUGUUUGCAGCUACUAUUUGUGAAAGAGUUUACCAACAAGCGCAUAGAUCAGCUGAAACGAGGUUGUUCUAACUUAAUCACAGUUCUCGGUUUGAGGCUUGGAAAUAAAGCUGCGUUAAAUACUUGUUGGGAGAAUUUUACCGCCCUAAUAGUUCUACCCGACUCGAAUCUGAAUUAAUUGGAAUUCAAAUACCAGAUGGUUUAAUAUACUGAAUAUAUAUAUAUAUAUAUAUAUAUAUAUGAAGAGUUUAGUGAACACACGUACAUUGCAUCUGUAACCUCCUCAUUUGUAUUUUUUUUUUCCCAAUGAUUUUAAAUUUUAUUCACUCAUUUGUAUAUUUUUUUUCCCAAUGAUGUUAAAUUUUAUUCACAUAUGUUUAAGUUAUUUUCCCCUAAUUAGCCACAAAUUACAACUACUGCAAUUUCGCGAGCGAACCUACGUUAAUAUAAUGAAAGUGAGGGACCACCAACAAAGUGUUGGCUCCACUGGCAAUGGAGUCCCCUUAAGUGGCUUGACUGGGUUUGCUCCCCAGUUCGAGUCGCAGGGAAGUCGCCUUUGUUGGGAGAACCUGUGCCUCCCAGUUCGAGCGAGGACUUCUAGUCUGGGUUGUGGUACGGGCUUAAAGGUGUCUCCCACAGUUGGGGCCCUCCCCAGGAUACCUCAUGACUAAUAUAAAAAAAAAAAUGAAAGUGAGGGACCCACAACAAUUAUAGAUGGGCGCGAAAAAUAGACUCAUUUUCUAAGCAGAAUCUCAUCAAAAUCUUCCUUCUUUUUCUUCAACUACAUCGGAAAUCGACUUAAUAUUGUUACAACUAUUUUUUGAUUGGCUGUCCACGGAUUCUAUUAUCAGGAAGUGUGGCCUGUUGAAUGAUUUACAAGUAAUUUUAUUUGAUUGACUAUUCCAGUUUGAAUCAUAUGAAAAUUGAUUUAAAUUUUUUUCCACCUCUUUACUUUUAAAAAAAUAAAAUUGUUAUUAAGUAAAAAAGUAUUUGGAGUAAAAUGUAUAAUUUUCAAAAUUAUUAGGUCAAAUCAUAAAUUUUAUAAGUUAAGAUUGCAUUUUGGUCUAUUAAACAAGUUAAAAUAAUAAGUAAAAAAUAAAAUUAUUUGAAAACCAUUCAAUUAAGUUCUUCAGAACUAUAUACUUUGAUUAACAAAACUAAUAUAAUUUUAAAUCUAUAUUUUAAAUGUUGGACGUUUUAAGACUAUAGAGAUAAGUAUAUAUUAUUAUUAAAUAAUAGUGUUAAGAAUGAAAUUGUUACUCAAGUUGAUGAUUAGGGAAUAAUUGUGUUAAGAAUGAAGCAAAAAGACAGAUGUAAUCAUAAAGAAUGGUAUAGUAUUCUAUUAAUCUUUCAGUCUUGAAUUUCAAAGUAUAAUGUAUAGUCAGUACAAUAUUUGAUGAAUAAUAAAACUGGAAAUAAAGAGUACAAAACAUAUAAUCUCAAACACUAGGAAUUUGAAUCCAGAACAAGCAUUUUUAUGCUUACAAGUAUAAUUUCAACUCCCGCGUCAUACUAUUGAUUCUGCUGAUGAAUUGAGUUGCGUUGGCAUUGCUUCUUGCUUGUUUGUCAAGGUGGACAAAAUCUUGGUUUGAUGUCAAUAUCUGAACUAAGAGCUUAUCCAUUAUGUUGGACAAAUAUGGCCUUGGAAAACUAGCCACUGAUGCCAUCAGAUUGCUUGGACCGAGAUGAUUCGACUAGUUCUGGAACCCGAUCAAGCAAACGAUUCAUAUCGUCCGGAAAUUCAGCCUUGGCUCGGUUAGUCUUUCCUCCGAUAAUCACUGAAGUUCCAUCUUGUAAGGCCCAUAUCUUUAGAUUGACAAGAGAUGACAACAAAUGAACAUUAAAUAUCACGUAAUGCAUCAGAAUCACGGUGCAAAUAACAUUUGAUAGUAACAUCAUUAGAAGUUAUCAUUUUAAAGCCUUGUGUUCUAUAGAGUGCAAAUGCCAGAAAAUUGACAUGUUAGUCAUACAUUAGAACUGUUGUGAAGUUGGUCAUUUGAUUACCCAUGGUUAUUGUUAUUUCAGAAUUAUAUCAUAUUGUCUCAAAUCUAUACUACUGGAUGCACCGAUAAGAACGAAAUUGGUGAAUUGUAUAGCACAAGGCAUCGUAGUAUAGACAAUAAAAACGGCUUGUGCUCUUGUGCUAUAAAACCAAUAAUGAAUUAUACUUCCAAAAAUUGCAACUUCACCUGUGUAUGAGAUAAGAAACUGAUGCAAGUUGUGAGCAUUAGGGCACCAAAACCAGCACACCCGAUCGGCACUCCAGGGUCAGUCUGUAAGUAAUUAACAUGCAUUAAUUGUAAUGUACUUAAUUUAUAAAAUAGAUACCGAUUACAAAUUGAUCUGUAUGCAUUAAAUCAAAGUUACCUUCAGGUCAAGACCAGUACUCCCGAUAGCAUCAACAAUAACAAUUUUUGUGCCAUCAAUGUCAAUUGGAAGCUUAGAGUUAGGUCGUCUGACUCCUGCAAAUUUCCCUUCUUGAUCAUAUAUGACUAUUGAUUGCAGAUCACGAGCAAGCAUUGAUCUAAAAUUUAACAAGAUGGAAGAACAAACUAAGCGCUUACUGAACUUCAAAAUUUUAGAGGAAAGAAAAGUACUGAAUCCUUGCCUAAAAGGUAGGUGUGAAAGAAAUACAUACAUUCUCUUGACAUUAGAAGAAUUAACAUCUCCAAGAGGUAAGAAAGUCCCAAACAGCUUUUGUUACAACUUUACUAAAAUUAUUAUAUCAUACUGAUGUCAUAGCAAUAAAAAUAGUAGUAUAGUGUAAAAUAUAAAGUUCUGUUAUGAUAUAGAUCUAAAGUGUUAUAUCCCAUACAAUUUACGCUCAUUUAUUAUUUUAUGCUUUUUAAAAAAGUAAAAUAAUAAUAAUAAAUUUGAUAAUUAACAUAAGAUAAAGCACUUGACUUAAAAAUUUAAAUAGAUAAUAUAUCUUGAUUUGAUACAACACUAGAGAAUUGUAAUACACAAAACAUAUUGGGACAUAAACUUUUUUUUAAAAGGUAGUGGAUAUUGUGGAAUGGAAAAUUCUUAGUGUAGAGAAAGAUGAGAGAAAUAAAGAAGAAAAGGGAAGAGUGAUAGUGGGUGGGUAGAGAGAGAGAAGGCAAAUUCUCUCAUCUUUCUCUACACCUAGCACUACUCUUGUGGAAUUACUCCACCAUAGAACACUGAUAAUGACCGUCAAAUUAUAGCAAUAAGUGCAUGUAUAAUAUUUAUCUUUAUAAUUGUAUGAUCAUCAUCAAUACUUCACAAUAGAGUAAUUCCAACAUAAUUUGACCCUUUUUUUAAAUUACACAAGUAUUAAAAGAUUAUGCAUUUUUAUUGAUGUAACCUCCAUAUCAGAAUAGCUAUACUUUGGCCACCGUUAAUAGUCAUUAAGUAUAAAAGGACUCCUAUGCCUUUUUCAAAUUAAGCCUUUAAAGUAGCUUUCAUUAUUUUUGACCCCUUUUAGUUAUUAUUUACAACAAAAUAAUCCUUAUAUCAAAUAUUCUUGCUUUACUAUUAUUAAGCUGAUUGGUAACAACCUAAUAUACGUAAGUGAUCAUAAAUGACACUAGAAAUUUUUGAAAUUACCUUAUUAUCCAGAAUAAAAAAUCUUGUCACUAGCAACAUUUACUGUUAAUGCAAAAAAUAUCAAUAUAUCACUGUACUUUAGAAAGUGACAAUAUUUUUUUUUGUUUUAAAAAAAAACCACCACUUUGCACCCGAACAGCUUCAAAAGUUUUGAAACGUAGGAAAAAUAGAAAACAACUGUUAAUUAAACUUUAAAAUAGUUGCAGUGCCAAUAAUGUCGCUUUUCUAACACGGAUUAUAUUUUAAUAACUAUUGUCUGAAUAAAUUAUAAUAACAAAAGCAACGAAACAAAUCUUGUUUAAAUCCUGAAAACAAUAAAAUUAAAUUUCAGGCAACAACUGGUGUAAUAAUAUGAUAUUGAUAAUCAUGCGUCUCCACAUUCACAUCAAUGCACAAAAAUUUAGUUAAAAAAAAUGAGAACAUUUUAAUUAGUCCCUAUUGCUUUCGAGUUAACAUCAAUUGAUCUGUUGAAAAGCAAAUAUAUGUUGCUUUAGAAUGAAUUAUAGGAAACAAUUGGCUGAGAGAUGAACCCUAACCAGUUUUUGCCUACCUUGGAUACUUGCAUGCAUGUAUUUAAAAUCUGCCAUUGUACUACAAGAUGAUUCUUCAGGCAAUAACUGGUGUAAUAAUAUGGUACUUAAACUUUUGUUAUCUAAAUUUGUAUGAUGAUUGAUUUACCACAAUGCAAAAUGCAGAUACUGUGUGAGCAAACUGUUCAAGAUUUAAAACCUAACUCACUGGUUUUUAUAAUUUAAACCAUUAAAUUUUAAUUGACACCAUUAAAAAAUUUUUUCAUUUAGCUUAUUCAUGAAAAUCCCAUUUUAUUUCAUAUGACACUUGUUAAUUAAAAUGUCUCCCUAGGUAGAGUUUAGAUUUUGGUUUAGUUAAUAUUUUCAAUUAAAACCAUUAAUGAUAAAAAUCUUAUGAUUCAAUGAGAAAAAAAAUACUGCCUGUAUAUGUAUAUCUUCACAUAUUUGUGAGCUUACAAAAAUCUCUUUAACGUGAUAUUGCUUUUUAUUUCCAUGCACAUGCAAUCUUGCUAUCAUGCAAAUCAAAUUUUCUAGAUUAAAGUUUAUUCACAUCAGUGACAAAAAAUUAACCCUAUGGUUUAAUUUCCCCAUUACCAUGAUGUUUAUCUGUGCCAUUAUUAUUGAUUUUUGCCCUUUCUAUCAGAUUAUUAUUACUUAACAAAUUCUUUAAAAUUCGAAUGAACAUUUUUCUCCAGGGCAAAAUUUGUUCACUAGCAAAUGGUAAAAUUUGAUCUAAUUCAUGGUUUAGCUUGCUUUAUUGCUGAUUAAUUAUGUGAUUUCAGUUGUCUCAAUUUUUUUUUCCUCCAUUGAAACUCGAUUGUAGGAACCAGAUGAAAUCAAUGAUUUUGAAUUGGCCACACAGCUUUAUCUUCUUGAUCUCAAUGUAAAGGGAAAAGGGCAUGGUGAAGUUGCUAACUGAUCACUAUUCUUUUUGGCAAAUGAAAACAUCAGCUAAUUAAUUAAUUAAUCAUUAUAUAUCUAUGCAGUUGCAGAUGAAGAUGAAGAACUUGCUAGAGCUAUUAAAGAAAGCCUCAAAUCUUCUUCAAAUUCAAAGCCUCAAAUCUUCUUCAAAUUCAAAACACAGAGUGAGUUAUCGGAAAAUCAAGUUAAAAUUGAAGAUUUUUUCACAACUAAUUAUUAACUAAAAGUUAAUUUUACUUGAGAUUUUUUAAUAUAUGACUUCACAUUAAUUGAUUAUUCCAGGUCUUGGUUCACGUCUAGAGGAAGCUCGAGUACAAUAGAUUGUGAUAUUUGCACUAAGGAGAUAAGUAUAGAGUAUAUAACAUGUUAAAUGGAGGGGAAAAUGACCUGAAGACUCUCAAAUUUUAAAAAUAAAUACAUAAAUAAACUCUCUCAAAUUUGGUCACAAUAGUUGAUGCUACGCAUGAUCCUUGUCCAUUCACAUUUUGCGAAACCAAUCAUGCCAUCAUGUAAAUUUUAAAAAAAAUAUAAUAUGUUGGAUAUCCCAAACAAAUGAAAAAUACUUAACAAUGAUUUUUAUGUGUCCAUUUCAGAAAUAUUAGAAAUCUAAUAGUGCAUUUGGGCCAGACUUGGGGGGUCUAAGUGUCAUUUUUCUUAAAUUAAUUAGCUUCGGUUCAAAUUUCGUUAAUACAGAAAUAUUAUUACAUUUUCAAACAGUUAUCACCAAGUAUGAAUCAUUGUAACCCUGAGUUUUGGAAUCAGCAUUUUUGCUACAAACCAUUUCAGUGAUGGGACUUCAGUUUGCUGUUGAUGCGUUAGAUUGAAGGUAUAUGUAUAUAUAAAAACAAGUUUUUACUGAAUUAUAAUUAAUGUAAUUUACGGUCCUUCUAAAACAUGCAUGAACGAGUAACAUGAUAGUAGGAUCCCCUUGAUUUUUGCAUUGUUUUAAGUUAACUGUAAGUUAAAUUAAUUGUAACUUAGCAAGAUCCAUAAAAAAUAUAUAUAUCUACUCUUCAAAAAUUAAAACAAAUUAAAAAGUUUUUAUUUUUGACUUCAUAUUAAACUAAAAUCUAUACAAAAAAAUCUAAGAUUCGAAUCUCGUUCACACCAGAGUUAGUUUUAACAAAAAUAAAAUUUUCUACUUUGUGUAGCGAUUGAACUUAGAAUAUUUUGAUCUCAACGGUAGUCGAGCAAUCUGUCCUGAUUGUUAUUCUACAUCGAUCAAAUGCACACAACAAAUUGAACCUCUUCUAAAUAAUGUGUUGCAAUUUUUCAAAAAAAAAAAAAAAGGCAUGGAAAUUGAGGAGCAAGUUCCCGUUUUCUUGGUAACAACUAACAAGAAUUGAGAUGAGGAAACAUACAAGCCAAGGAACAAGCCUGGGGUACCUAUUUCAAUAUAUAUUAAUGAUUUUAUUUAUUUCUUUUUGCAUUAUUUUACGUGGAAGGAGUUAAUUAAAGUGAUUAUAUUACUUCAAUUAUGCCAAAACAACAAACUACUAUAAGAAUUAUUGAGGUGUAAUACAUUUAUACAUUAACUAGAACGAGAUUUUUUUUUCUUUUUUGGUUUUUACUGCUUAUAAAUGAUUUAUGAUUAAAAUAUUGGAGCCAAGACUAUUCUUUCUUUUCAUUUUUAGCAUCCUAUUGGAUUCCAUUCCAAAUUAAAGUAUCUAUUUAAAACUGAAUUACAUAUGUAUUGACUUCUUACUCUAUUUACAAAAGACCAAAUUGAAUUAAUAUUUAGAGAUUUGGAGCUAGUACAUGCAUAUGUUUGUAUAUUUUUAAUGAAGGAAACAUUCUCGAAAUUUACUUCUCAUGUGUGUUUGUGGGAUCUAUCAUCAUAAAUUUUAUUUAAACUAUUAUCUACUACUUGUGCAAAUACUCUGUUCAUCCAGGUGUCAUUGUAUUUGGACUAACUCAUAGACUUCCAUAUGGUAGUGUCAAUCUCCGAAGCGUAACUUUAUCUUUUUAUUUUUUCUUCAAUUUCUUGAAUAUGAUAUACAUAUGUAGAUGUCAUCUUAUUCAAAUGUUUGUAAACAAACUUGAAGUGAAACCAUAACAAAACAACGUUAUUUUGUAACAAUCAAAUGAUGCUUUGGAUUAACUCCUCUUACAUUUAACAAAGCUCUCUCAUUUUGUCGAGGUUACUUUAAAAAAAAAAAUGUUGCUUUGGUUUAAUUAAAGUUCAAGUACACAUUCCGUGCGAUAUAUAUAUAUAUAUCAUAAAAAAUUAUAAUUGUUGACGUGGAUUUUAGUCAACCAGAAAAUUAAAUAAAGGACUAUAUUAAAAAUAUAUUAAAAAUAAUUUUUCACUCUCAUGUUCUCAUACUUACAUGUUCACAUACUCUCAUACUCUCAUUUAGUUGAGCAUAAUUGACUUAUUAAACUCCUUACCGAUCUUACAGAUCUUACAUAGUCUCAUGCUCCCAUACUUUCAUGAUCUCAUAUUCACAUUAUUUAUUUAUUUAUUUUUACUAACAAAAAGAUUUCAGCAAUAUCACAUUCUUCGGAAUUUCCAGACAUUGAAAUUAGCAAGAAAGAUCAGGGAUCAACUAGAAUGCCAAAAAGCAGGACACGGAAUACCACAGAAUCGAGAAACAGACGAGCUCACAAAUGUGAAUUACAUAUACAGGCAGAAUAAUAUUAGCAUAAGCCAACUAAACCUGGCUAAGGGGGAAACCAAGGUGUGUCAAUUCACCAUAUACAGAAUGUGGGAAGGCUACUGCUCUUCAGGUUCUAGCUUUCUCCAUAAUGGCUUAUUGGUUUUGACACCACUUUCAUAUCCGCUGCUAUCACCUGAUUCGCUUACACCCUUCUCCAUCAACCUACCCUUAAUACCAUAAUGCGGCGAGCGUCCAUGUUCCCUUCCAGCUCUACGUUCAUCUCGGAAAGGGAACUCUUCAGCUUCAAGCAUAUGUAUCACAUGCCCCAUCUUUGGCCUCUUGUGAGCAUUUGGGUCCACACAGCGUAAAGCUACUAAAAGAGCACGCUUCAAUGCCCUUGAAGAAGGCUUCUCUUGCAACCUAGGAUCCAAAACACCCUCUGCAUUGCCAUUUGUGACCAUUGUUUUAAGCCACUCAAACAAAUUCACCUGAAAUUGGAACUCCCCUGGAGGGCGGCUGUAAUCCACUGGAUUUCUACCAGAAAUUACUUCCAUGAUAAGGAUACCAAAACUGUAUACAUCGCUUGUUUCAUUCAACAUCCCAGUGCUAGCAUAUUCUGGAGCCACAUACCCAAAUGUUCCCAUCACACGAGUUGUCACGUAGCUCCUCUCUGCGCCCAAAAGCUUUGCUAGGCCAAAGUCGGAUAAUUUCGGAUUCCACUGCUUAUCAAGCAAAAAUGUUGCUUGACUUGAUAUCACGGAGAACAACCUUUGGUUCAAGCCCCUCAUGCAGGUAUGUCAGCCCUUUGGCCGUUCCAAGUAUUAUAUUCAUCCGAAUCUCCCAUGUAAGAGGGCUGUGAGGCCCCACAUCUCCAUGAAGCCAUUGUUCCAAGUUGCCAUUGUCAACGUAUUCAUUAACAAGCAUCCUAUGAGCUCCUUCAGCACAAUAACCUACCAAUCUCACCAAAUUCUUAUGUCGGACACGUCCAAUUGCUUCCACUUCAACCUUAAACUCCUUCUCAGCUUGUCCCCUGUUGUUAAGCAAAUUCUUAACAGCAACAUUGGUGUUAUCCUCUAACACGCCACGGUAAACAAUUCCAUAACCACCUUCACCAAUCACAUUCUCAUCAGCAAACCCAUUAGUGGACACCUCAAGCUCUCUCAAAGUAUACCAAUGGCCCCAUCCCAGGUGUGAAACCUCCGGCGCAAUUGCCGCAGCCAUCGUCUGAUCACCGGACCCGUGAUGCGACCCGGCGGUAAGCAAUCCGGUGGUCUUUGCCUAUUUCGAUGUGAAUUCUGUUGCGGCCCCUAACGGGGCUGUCUUCAACCAAAAUUGGCUCCGGUUCGGGUAACGGCUCAGGAUUUGGCGCGGAAUGAGGUUUGCAGUUGGAGAUCGAUUUGGAGUCCAGGUCGAUUCGGAUUUCUUGAAUUUCUUUGGAGAUGUUUGGAAUUGUUGGGUUGCCGCUGCUGCUGUUGUAGUUGUUGCAGAGAGAGGACGACUUGGUAGCGUUGAGCUGUCGUUUUGAGUUGUUGCUAUUGCGUUUUGAAGUGAACCAAAGAGAUAUGAGGAAGAGAACUAAAACUAUUCCAGCUCCUACGCAAAUACCGAGAACAACCCAUAUACGUAACCCGAAAAUUGAGGUUAAAGGAAAACCUUACUCUGUUUGGAUGGAAAGAAAAUGUACAGAGAAAAGAAAAUAUUUCUUAACUGAAUUUCAUUAAUAUUUUUAUUGUAUUAAAAAUAGAAAAUACAAUCGGUUUUUAUAUCAGCUCGUGAGCUUAACUAACUGCAGAACUAAAACAGAAACAACAGAAUAAAAGAUGCAGAGCACAAUAGACAAGUGUCACUAGUGAGGCUGAGCUGUCAAUGACCUGGCAUACUCUCAAUUACUCUGCUGACUCGGCUUCUUUGAUCACUCUUUGCAUUGACUGAUCUUUGACUAAGAAGCUGAGAUGUGCUUCCUUAAUAGCCCCCUUCAAACUCAACGGGCAAGGUUGCACAUUGAGUUUGCUUCUAAAGAAAUUAAAAUGAUUGAAGGUUAAGGGUUUUGUUAAGACAUCUGCAAUUUGUUCUUCACUGGGUAUGUAAUUAAUCUGCAAUUCCUUGGCAACAACUUUAUCUCUAAUGAAGUGCAUGUCCAGUUCAAUGUGUUUGGUUCUUGAAUGAUAAACUGGAUUCUUUGCAAGCUCAGUAGCACUCUUGUUAUCACACCAUAUCACUGGAGUUGAAGUGCACUGCAGAUUCAUUUCACUGAACAAUUAUUGAAGCCAAGUAAUCUCUGCACAAGCUGCAGCAAGAGAUCUAUAUUCACUUUCAGCACUAGAUCUAGUCACAACUGAUUGCUUCUUAGAAGACCAUGAGAUUAGAUUGUUUCCCAAGUAAAUACAGUAUGCACCAACUGAUUUCCUGUCAUCAAUGUCACAAGCCCAAUCUGCAUCUGUGUAUCCAGUUAGUGUCAGCUCCCCUUCAACUCCAAAUUUCAGUCCAUAGUCCUGAGUUUCCUUUAAGUAUCUUAACACCCUCUUGCAUGCCAUUAGAUGCUGUAAAGUUGGCAUAGCAACAUAUUGACUAAGCUUAUGUACUGCAAAUGCUAUCUCAGGCCUUGUAAGUAUCACAUAUUGUAAGCCACCAACAAAACUUCUAUAUGCUGAAGGAUCAUCAAUAAAUUGACCAAGUGAACCAUCAACUUGUUUAUGAAGUUUUGUUCCAGUAGUCAUUGGUGUAUCACAUCCUUUACAACUUAGCAGCUCUGCUUUUUCCAGUAAGUCUCUGAUAUAUUUUCUUUGAGACAAGAAAAUACUUCCAUUGUAGUAAGAGACUUCAAUUCCUAGAAAAUAAGACAAACUCCCUAGAUCCUUUAAGGCAAAAACUGAACUGAAAUAAGAGAUAAAAUCCUCAAGAGCUUUGCUGUUGGGACCUGUAAUUAGUAUAUCAUCCACAUAGAUUAAUAUCAUAAUCAUAGAUCAUUUUUCUUUCUUCAGAAAUAGUGAUGUAUCUGCUCUUGAAUUCUGAAAUCCCCAUUUAAUCAAAGUUUCAUUGAGCUUAUCAAACCAUGCUCUAUGAGCCUGCUUCAACCCAUAAAGUGCCUUAUUCAACUUGCAAAUAUGACCAGGUUUAUGAACAUUGAUAAAACCCUCAGGUUGUUUCAUAAAAACAUCUUCAACUAAAUCACCAUUCAAGAAUGCAUUAUUAAUAUCUACUUGCCUUAUUUUCCAGCCAUUCAUUGCAGCCAAGCUUAAUACCACUCGAACUGUAGCUGGUUUAACUACUGGACUGAAAGUCUCAAAAUAAUCAACUCCUGCUACUUGUUGAAAUCCCUUGGCAACAAGUCUUGCUUUAUGCUUGGCAACACUCCCAUCAAUAUUAUACUUGACUCUAAAUACCCAUUUAUUAUCAACAACCUUCUGUUCAGAGGUGUUAGGUACCAGAAUCCAAGUAUUGUUCUUCAUUAAUGCAUCAUACUCAUCUUUCAUUGCCUGACACCAUCUUUGAUCUUCUAAUGUUUCUUCUACUGUAUCUGGUUCUCUAUUUGACAGAACAGCACAAAACACCUUUGGUUUGAAUAUACCUGAUUUAGCUCUAGUGAUCAUUUUGUGUGUAGGAUGAUGGAUAGUUUGUUGGUUUUGUGAAUGUGUGUUGGUUAAUAUGUCAUGUGGCAAAAUUGGAUUUUGAGGUUCUGGUUGGAGAGUUUGAGCUGAUGCAGGUGAAGUGUUUGUAGUUGGUGUUUGUGUGUAGCCUGAAGAUUCAAGUAAAUCAAGUUGUUGAUUUUGUUGAACAGAGAUUGUAUGAUCAGAACCUGAUGAAGAUUCAGUUAUGUUACUGCUGGUUCCUGCUGAGAAAGACUCUUCAGAACUGUUGUCAGGAAUAUAUGGCAAGGUAGACAAUUGAGAUACUUGCUGUUGGUUCAGUGUUUUGACAGACUCAGGAUCAGAAGAUGAGGUAUUGGUUUUAUUAUCAAUGGUAGUUGAAGGAAAACAAGUUUCAUCAAAUGUAACAUGUCUGACAAUGUAUACUUGACCUGAAGGAUGAAGACAUUUAUAGCCUUUGUGGGAUGGACUGUACCCAAUGAAUAUACACUUGCUGGAAUGAAAAUCAAACUUAUGUCUAUUAUAGUCUCUCAGGAAUGGAUAACAUAAGCAGCCAAAACACUUAAGAAAACUAUAAUCUGCUUUGUGGUUAAACAACUUCUCAUAUGGUGUUUGAUUUUUGAGCACUGGAGUAGGUAACCUAUUAAUGUGAAAUACUGCAGUAUGAAAAGCAUCCCACCAAUAUUGAAGACAUAAAUUUGCUUGAGCUAACAAGGUUAAACCAAGUUCAACUAUAUGUCUAUGUUUUCUUUCCACUGAUCCAUUUUGAUGAUGUGUAUAAGGACAUGAGUGUCUAAAGAGAAUGCCAUUUUGAUUUAGAAAAUCUGUAAACACUUUAUAUUCUCCCCCCCAAUCUGAUUGCAACAUCUUGAUAGAUGUGCUGAACUGAUUUUCAACUUGAAGUUUGAAUAGCUUAAAGACUUCUAAAGCUUCUGAUUUAAGCUUGAGGGGAUAGAUCCAUGUAUAUCUGCUAUAAUCAUCAACAAAGCUAAUAUAGUACUUAUAUCCAUUCCUAGACAAAACUGGUGAAGGCCCCCAAAGAUCUGUGUGUAUAAGUUCCAGAACAUGAGUAGUUUUUAUCUCUGUAGUUGCAAAGUGUAAUCUAUGAGAUUUUCCCAAUUGGCAUGCUUCACACACACUAUGACUGGAAUUUCUAAGUAACUUCAGAGAGACUUUAGCACAAUUAUAAAACUUCAGCAAGUGUAUAAGAACAUUCAAAUUCGGAUGACCAAACUUUCUAUGCAACAAAGUUAAUUGAUCAACUGUUUGAGUACAAUUUGAUGAAACAGAACUGAAACAAGCCUUGGCAAAAGAAUCAGAUUUAUUUGAGGUCUGAUUGUUUCUAUCAACAAAAGACAACAUGGACAAAGGCUUAUUUGAAUGAACAACUGACAUAUAUGACUCAUGAGUUUGAGUAUUAGGUGAGCUGGGUGAACUUGGUUUAAGUUGCAGCUUGUAGAGUCCUUUCUCAGCAAGCCCCUGCAGAAGAACUUGCCCCUUCAUUUUGUCCUUCACAAAACAAACAUUACCACAAAAUUCAACAGAGAUGUUAUUAUCUGAGGUUAGUUUGGAUAUGCUUAAAAGAUUUUUUGUUAUAGAAGGCACAAGCAGCAUAUCUUUUAACAAAAUGCAGGUAGUUGUAUGACCAGAUCGAAGAGAAGCAUUACCAACAUGAGUGAUAGGUAGGCCUUGACCAUUUCCUAUGAUGAGUUGAUCAUUACCUUUGAAUUCUUCUCUAAUGUGCAUAUUGGCCAUGUUGUUUGUGAGAUGAUGUGUAGCUCCACUAUCCAAAUACCAGCCUUCAUCAGCAGGCCCUUCAAAGUUGGCCAUAUAUGCAGCUCCAGGGGAAUAUGAAGCAUGAAAACCCGGCAUAUAUACAGGAGACAUUCCAGCAGAAUAUUCAUCAAAAUUAGGCAUAUAAGAUGGCAUGUAAUUAGCUGAUUCCAGAUUAGUCAUAUAAGCAGACUUUGGAAUUUUUCCUUUGUUAUUGACUCUAGAUGAAGCUGGAAUAAAAUCUUCAUUAAAUCUAUACCAGCAAACAUCAGCACUAUGUCCAGGUUUAGAACAAAUCUGACAUAUUAUCACUUCUUCAGAAAUACUAGCAGAAUUUUGAUGUGAAUUUCCAAAAAAAUUGGAUGGCAUAGUAGGAGACAUGCCAUUGAAGAUUGGUUUUCCUUUCAUUUGAUACAUGUUUUGACCUCUGCCAUAACCACUAAAACCAGAAUAUCCUCCAUUGAAACCAUUAAAUCCAGAAAAAUUUCUUGAAGGAAAACCUCUACCAGUACCAGAUCCUCUCCCACCAAAAUAAUUGCCUUGAAAACCUCCUGUAUAACCACCUCUUCUAUGGUUUCCCUUUGUUUGUGCAAAAUUAGCAUUAAACAUGCCUUGUGCCAAAUUAGCAUUGAAAACAGUUUUAGCAUCUUGCUCUUGUUGCUCAAUUCUAGACUCAUGAGUGAGCAACAAUGCAUAUGCAUCAUCAAAAUCCAUUUUACAAGCAGUGAUAAAAGAAGCUAUAUCUAGGAAGCCUGAUCCGAGACCAUUAAGAAUGUACAUCAACAAUUCUCUAUCAUUCAAAGGACUCCCAGCACAAGCAAGUUUAUCAGCUAAUGCUUUCAUUUUCAUGCAAUAAUCUUCAACAUUCAUUGAUUCUUUCUUUAAAGUGUUUAUUUCAUACUUGAUCUGAAGUACCUUAGCUUUAGAUUGUACUCCAAAUUUUUUCUCAAGUGUUUUCCAUACAGCAUAUGAACUAUCAAGAGUAAUAACGAGACCAAGUGUACCUUCACUUAUUGAAGAUAAGAGCCAGCCAAGAAGUGUUUGAUCUUGUGAUUUCCAGGUGAUAAAUUCUGGAUUCUCAAUCACCUGUGUAGAUCCAUCAGCUGUUCUUCGAGUGAGAUACUGCUCUGGUUCAGAUUUUGUUCCAUUAAUGAAACCUUCAAGCCUGUUGCCUCUUAUGGAAGCUAAUACUUGAGAUCGCCAAAUUAAGUAAUUGGCUCGAUCUAGCUUCACUGGAUUGUUGAAUGAAAAAUUUGUUGAAUUAGUGUUUGUGUUUACGAUUGGAUUGUUGGAGCUAGUCAUAUUGAUCUGGCUCUGAUACCAUAAAGGAAAACCUUACUCUGUUUGGAUGGAAAGAAAAUGUACAGAGAAAAGAAAAUAUUUCUUAACUGAAUUUCAUCAAUAUUUUUAUUGUAUUAAAAAUAGAAAAUACAAUCGGUUUUUAUAUCAGCUCGUGAGCUUAACUAACUGCAGAACUAAAACAGAAACAACAGAAUAAAAGAUGCAGAGCACAAUAGACAAGUGUCACUAGUGAGGCUGAGCUGUCAAUGACCUGGCACACUCUCAAUUACUCUACUGACUCGGCUUCUUUGAUCACUCUUUGCAUUGACUGAUCUUUGACUAAGAAGCUGAGAUGUGCUUCCUUAAUAGAGGUUCUCUUAGAGAGCUGAUCGUUCAAGAACGAGUAAUGAGACAUUGCAGCAAAGCCCUUUGUGAGUCAAAUUUCGGCUCCUAAUUUUAUGAAAACAAGAAACAGAGAGACAGAGUGCGGUGUGUCGUAUUUUGUUGGGACUAGCUCUUGCUGCAGCGGGCAGAGAUGAUGUUGAAUGAGGUCAUUUUGUUUUGCGAGACAGAGCUGGCAUGAUGGGACCUCUAGAAUGGCGAUAAAACCCCAUUACCCAUUAGUGUUUUUUUGUGACCUAAAUGCAUUUUUCUAAUCCAUGCACAGUGGAGUUUCUAGUUAGUUUCUAGUCUUCAUGUUCACAUUAUUUGACUUGUUACAUUUCUCCUUACAACAACAUUAAAAUAUAAUUUUUUUUACAGCUAGUCUGCUAAUUAUAUGUGUGUGUGUAAAAGCAUUUAUUGGUCAAAAGCUCAUCACUAAGGAGAAUACAAAUUGUUUUGGAGGAAGAGGAUUGUGAAGUAACUCGAUGCAAAACCAUAUAGAUAUAUAUGCAUUUAUAUGUCUCAUGCUGACAUCUAUAUUUCAUAAUUUUAAUUUUGAAAAUCAUUCCAUAAUUUUAAUUUUGAAAAUCAACUUACAGGUGUAUCAUUUAAUUUUGAAAUGAUGCAUGCACGGUUUGGAAUUCAAGGUCAGCCUUAAUAAUAUUAUUAUUAGCUUCGUAGCAACUAGGGGUUUAGCUAAUGAAAUGAUGCGUGCAUGUUUUGGAAUUCAAGGUCAGCCUUAUAAUUAUUAUUAAUAUUUAUAAGCUUAGUAGCAAUUAAAUUCGAUUCCUCUAUCAUUUCUUGCGUCGUCUCUUUUUCUUUCAAUCUGUCACGGCGACGACUCUGCAAUUCUGCCGUCUAUGCACGCGAACUGACAUAGCUUCCCGCCAUAAUAAUCGCGCCGGAGGGCUGGCUCUCCGCCGCUGGAAGCCUGUGAUCGUCAGAUGCUCCGGUCAAGAAUUGCCGAGCUCAGCGGUGGCUGUUGGUGCCGAAUUUGACGCGAAACUAUUUCGGCAUAACCUGAUGAGAAGUGAUAAUUAUAAUCGGAGAGGAUUUGGCCACAAAGAAGAGACUAUGGAGCUCAUGAAUCAACAAUACACAAGUAAGAUUUUCAUUCUUUUGGUUUAAAUUAAUUUUUUGCUACUGGAUUUUCUUUUGUUUAUUCAGUAGGAAAUGAAAUUAUUUUUACUUAAAUUUCUUUAUUUUGACUCAUAGAACUGGCUUUAGCCAAUUGGAAGCCUUAGGUUAAAUUUUAUUUUAAGCCUUCUUUCAUUAAAAUAUUAACUCUCACAAAAAUAUCAAAUAUCUCGAAAAACUCUCAUAGAAACAUCAAAUAACUCAAAAUUCAAUUACAUUCAAUAAUAUCUUGAAUUACACAACAAUUAUCAACAAGAUCCAAAAAUAAAAAAGAAAAAAUAGUAGGAAUGAUAUCUAAUUAUUUCCACUAUAAUAUUAACUAGUUUUGUCUUCCACAAAUUCCAUCUCCUUAAAAUACUCUAAACCUUCUUCAGCCACAACUAUAGUCUCUCCCGUUCAUGAACUUUAAAUCAUUGUUCCUACCUACUAUGAUCCUUGUUGCAAGCCAUCAAUGAUGCAAAUUACUAAUCAAUUAAAUUUUAUUCUUCUUGCUUUCUGAGAUGUAAAAUUAUUAAUUAAAAUCUUAUAUUCUAAUUUAUCUAACAAAUCUUUCUCAAUAGCUAAUAUAGUUCAUUCAUUUAAUCUUUCUUGUGACGUUAUUGUUCUUAAAUAAGAUUUUAAUAACUUUAAUUUAGAAAAACUUAUCUCAGCAGAAGUAGCAAUUAUAGGUACUAUUAAUAAUAUUCUACAAGCAACAAAUGCAUUUGGAAAAAAAUCUAUUUUUUUAAAAUAUAAUUAAGCAUAUCAAAUAGAGUAUUUCUUUCAAUAUGUAAGACUUCUUUUAAGACUUUUAACUUCAAAAAUAAAUCUAAUCCAUCAAUAUCAGAAAACAUAUCAUAUUUCAAGGCAUUUUCAAGAUUAAUACAACAAUUUUUUAGACUUUCAUCAUUUAAUGAUUUUAAUUUUUCAAAAAUAAAUAAAAAUCCAAAAAUAUUUUCAUAGAAUUGAAACUGCUCAUCUAUUGGUGAUUGAAGAAAUAGCUUGGUCUACUAUAUAUAAGAAAUCAAUUCUAAAAGAAUCUUCAGGAAACAAAAUUUUCUCUUCACUAUUAUUCUCACCAAAUUUAUUUUUUCUGUGAAUUAUAUGUUUUUCAUGAAAUUUUGGUUCUAUUUCCAUUUCAUUUGCAAUCUCUUUAGCUGAAAUCAUAGCAGAUACAAAACCAUUUUGUCUAUAGUUUUCAAAAAAAGAUGUAAGACCUUUUAGUUGAUUUUUUUUUUUUUUUUUUGGUCUUAUCCACGAGGUAUCUUGGGGAGGGCCCUAACUGUGGGAGGCACCUUUAAGCCCGUACCACAACCCAGACUAGAAGUCCCCGCUCGAACCGGGAGGCACAGGUUCUCCCAACAAAGGCGACUUCCCUGCGACUCGAACUGGGGAGCAAACCCAGUCAAGCCACUUAAGGGGACUCCAUUGCCAGUGGAAGCCAACACUUUGUAUUUAGCUAAUUUAUGGUAACAUCAAUUUGCAUACCAAAUAGUCAUACCUAACAAAAUUCAAAAAUUUUCAAUUUAUAUGUUGCUAAGCAUUUAGCUCCACUUUUUAUUUUGGGAUAUUCACUAACUUCUGCAAAUUCAAGUAAAGCAUCUCUAAUUUGGGGAGCUUGAAAUCUUAUUACUUUCACACUUUCUAUGUGACACUCCCAAGUGAUUCAUUAUUCAGCUUAAUUUAUACUUCCUAAAUGGAUAUAUUAAAUAAUAAAAAUUAAAAAAUAAAGAAAUUCGUGUAUUUUUUUUUUACAAUUUUAUUGAAUGAACUUUUUCUUUUAACAAUUUUAUUUAAGAAAGCUGGAUCAAUCAAUGAUUUAUCUUUUUAUGAACUCAUCAUCACUUUGUGAUUAACACAUGUUAAAAGAGACUUUUUUUAAAUCUUAGUGUUUCUAUUUGGAGUUAGUGUUAUGCGGUGAUGAUUUUUACUUUUGUUGAUUUCGUUGAAAAUUCUUUCAGGUGAUAUUAUAAAGAAAUUGAAGGAGAAUGGAAACGAAUAUACUUGGGGAAAUGUUACGGUGAAGCUGGCCGAAGCAUAUGGCUUUUGCUGGGGAGUUGAGCGUGCUGUGCAGAUUGGUUAUGAAGCAAGAAAACAGUUUCCCGAUGAGAAGAUCUGGAUUACCAAUGAAAUAAUCCUUCACAGUCCAUCUAUUAAUUAGGUCUUAAAAAAAAAAAACCAAUUCUUCUUUUAUAAUAUUUUCAAUUUAAAUAUUUUUGCUGCCCUGCUGUUUGUUAAGUUAGUUGCUCGUUUACUCAUUUUCAUGGUUAUGGAUUGCAAAGAGUAGAUCUGUAGUCAUGAUUUGAUUCUUUUAUUACUAUAUUCUACUAAAAUAUUACUGAGGCUCUUAAGUCAUACAUGGCAGCGGUUGGAGGAGAUGGAAGUUAAAAAUAUACCUGUUGAGGAAGGAAAGAAGAAAUUUAAUGUGGUAAAUAAGGGUGAUGUUGUGGUUUUGCCUCCAUAUGGGGCUCCGGUUGAAGAAAUGGUGACUCUGAAUGACAAGAAUGUGCAGAUUGUUGAUACAACUUGCCCUUGGGUGUCAAAGGUACCUUUGGCUGAGACGGAUCAGCUGUUACUAUGAUUAUUCAUUUGCUGGUUAUAUCUUCAAUCCCUCAUUCCCUCUUCAUGUUACAUAAUAUAUACAAUUUUAAAAUUUUUUUGUGAAGGUCUGGACCACGGUUGAGAAGCACAAGAAGGGAGACUACACUUCAAUUAUUCACGGUAAAUAUUCUCAUGAGGAAACUGUAGCAACUGCAUCUUUUGCAGGGAAGUAUAUCAUAGUCAAGGAUAUGAAAGAGGUAUGUUCAGAAGGCGGAUUAUAUUCUAUUUUCUGGAGAAACUGUAGAGCGAUAUUAGGAGAUAUUCAUUGGAAUGUUUUUUCCAAUUAUGAUUUAAUCCAGGCUGAAUAUGUGUGUGAUUACAUUCUUGGGGGUGAACUUAAUGGCUCUAGCUCAACAAAAGAAGCAUUCCUUGAGGUAUGAGUUUUGUCGCUUACUUGACCGUGAAUGUUGACAAUUUUUGGAGAGUUUUGCAGAUAUUGAUAUAGUUAUUUGCUUGCCUACAGAAAUUCAAGAAAUCUGUUUCAAAAGGGUUUGAUCCAGAUGUUGACUUGGUAAAAGUUGGCAUUGCAAACCAAACUACAAUGCUCAACGGUGAAACAGAAGAGAUUGGUUAGUUGCACCAUAAUGCUGAUGUCACCCCACCUGUUUCCAAGAAAGUUUGGCUUCUGGUAUUUGAGAAAUUUUUCAUUGUUACAGGAAAAUUAGUAGAGAAGACCAUGAUGCGUAAAUUUGGAGUUGAAAAUGUCAAUGAACACUUCAUAAGCUUCAACACAAUUUUUUAUGCUGCACAAGUAAUUUCUUCUUCUAACUCAUGGCUUUUCCUUUUCAGAUUUUUAUAAUUUUGUGUGUCAUAGAACUUCCUGUCCACCGCAUGUCUUUUAACGAUCUUUAUAAAACCCAGAAUUUUGAACCUCGAUAUGCCAAACCUAACAACAUACUUGACCAUUUGUUUUCACUGACCGAACUGCUCCGCCCGCAAGAGUGCAAUACUCAGCCACUAGUUAAACAGCUAGUUGUGUAACAUUCAGUUGUGUUAAGUAAAAUUUAAGCUAAAGAUUUUGGUUUCAAUUUUUGCAGGAGCGGCAAGAUGCAAUGUAUAAGUUGGUUGAGGAAAAAAUCGAUCUUAUUUUGCUUGUUGGUGGGUGGAACUCGAGCACUACCUCAAGUCUUCAAAAGAUUGCAGAAGACCGUGGAAUCUCCUCAUACUGGAUCGACAGUGCGAAAAGAAUAGGUCCCGGAAACAAAAUAGCACAUAAAUUAAUGGUACGGGUGAACAUAUUGAAUUUCACUUGCAUCAACAGAGUAAUUUUAAGUUUCGAAUUUCUUUAUUAAUUUCCUGUGCUAUGUUAUUAUAGCAUGGCGAGCUGGUGGAGAAAGAAAAUUGGCUGCCGAAAGGACAGAUCACAAUCGGUGUAACAGCCGGUGCCUCCAUCCCAGAUAAGGUAAUUUCUGACGCAUAAAAUUUCUAAAUAUAUUUUUGCUUACUUUGACUUUAUUUUUUCAUUCUUGACGUCUAAUUUACCAUGCCACAACUAAUUACAUCAUUUUCGUCUGCUCAUGGUAAAUUUUCUAGCUGUUUAACUUAAAGAUUGUUAUAAUUUUCCUCUCUGUGUUUUAUCCAGGCAGUUGAAAAUGUCCUUAAAAAGGUGUUCGAGAUCGAGCGUGAAGAAGCCUUGCAAUUGGCGUAAACUGAGGUCCAAACGUACAUAUUAUCAAUAAAUUUCAAUGUGAUUCUACAAUUAGAUAUUGUAAAAUUAUAAACACAGCCCUCUUCUGAGUCUUUUCUUAGUGCCCAUGUGAUCUGAAAUUUUUAGUUUUUGUGUAAUAUGAUGUUAGUGAUUGCAAUUUCUAGCCAGCAUGAUAUGAUAUAAAAACCCCUGUGAUUAUCGUUCAAGCCCCCGCAUGCAAGCAUGCAUACAUGACUUCAUGCAUGAUAUUGCCCUUUGCAUGCAAACGUGACUUCAUGCAUGAUAUUUUGGAUUCCUGCAUUGAUUAGGGGUGUUCAUAAUUCAAUCCGAUCCGCUCAAUCCAUCUGAUCCGUGAAAAUCCGAUCCGUGGAUUGGAUAUGAAUUGAAAAUUUAAAAAUCCGCAGUUGAUGGAUUGGAUAUGGAUUUACUUCUGUAAAUCCGUAAAAAUCCGUGAAUCCACAAUAUAUAUAUAUAUAUAUAUUUAUUUAUUUAGUUAAAAAUUUAUUAUAAAUUUAAUUAAAGAAUAUUAUAAAUGUGACAUUACAUAGUUACAUAAGCCUUUGUUGGGAGAACCUGUGCCUCCCGGUUCGAGCGGGGACUUCUAGUCUGGGUUGUGGUACGGGCUUAAAGGUGCCUCCCACAGUUGGGGCCCUCCCCAGGAUACCUCGUGAUUAAUAUAAAAAAAAAAAGCACUAUAACAUAUCUUAGCCAUUACCCAAUAAUAAUAUUAAAUAAAAAAUAAUUAAAUAAUCAAAUAUACAAAUAUAACUUGUAAAAAUUGUAAAACAAAAUAAAAGCAAAGUCACACGCACUGGCAAAAGCAAAGUAACAUAACGCCAAGUUACCAACAAUUUGCAAAGUCACCCAAAAGCAAAGUAACGUAACGCCAAGUCACCAACAAUUUGCAAAUAAAAAACCCUAAGCUUCCCCGUCGUCACACGCACUAGCAACACCCAAUACUAGUUCGAUACACUCUCACACCGUUUUGAAGGACGUUGGCCGCGUGAUUCCAGCGAGAGCAAGCCAUCUUCUUUCCCGAGUCCAUCGAGCCACUUCACAAUCACUGGUUCCAGCCAAACAAUUGCACUAUCACAACCUUCAAGAUCGUCACCCGUACUUCUCCUGGUUCCCAUCGUUGACGGCUCCGUAAUUACCACUUUUCGACAAGUGCAAUAGCUCUGGUGAAGGAUCAGAUUGUGUUUGGUUUCAGAAACUUCGCCAUUUCAAUUAAUUGUGGCUUUAUUUGAACAAUUAAUUUCGGUGUUAUGUUAAUGUAUUAUUGUAACUUUAUUUGAAUAAUUAAUCUUAGUGUGUUAUAUUUUGAAACUUUAAACGUAUUAUUGUAGCUUUAUUUGAACAAUUAAUCUCGAUGUACUAUAUUUUGAAACUUUGAAUGGUAUUAUUUUAGUUUUAUUUAAACAAUUAAUUUGUUUAAAUUUUAUUCAAUUUUAAAUUUAAUUGGUAGUAAAAUUAUUUUUAUAUUAGAUUUUUUUUUAAUUUCAUUUGUUCAUGGAUUGGGGAGAACUAAAAAUUUUUAAUUCGGAAACUAAUGCGCAAAAUGGUGGAUUGGAUAUGAAUUAAGUUAAAUCCGCAUCCGAUUCGCAUACGUAUGGAUUGGAUAUGGAUUGAGUCAAAUCUGCAUCCGAUCCGCAGAUGUGUGGAUUGGAUUUGGAUUGAGUUUAAUCAAUCCGUGGAUUGGAUUGGAUUAAAAAAUUAUAAUCCGUAAAAUUGUGGAUCGGAUAUGGAUUGAUGUCUAAUCCGUAAAAUCCGAUCCGCGAACACCCCUAGCAUUGAUAUAAAUGACUUCAUGCAUACAUGAUUCAUGCAUGUUAUGAUAUAGAUCUGUUUGUGAGUGUUUUGGUUUCUUAUAAUCACAAUCACAUGGCAACACUGAACUAAAAUCUUAUUAGGAGUUCUGAUGCUUUACAAAGAAAAAAGAAACAGGAUGCAGAAGUAGAUAGGGACUGGCUAAGAAAUUACAGUAACUAAUGUUUAAUCUUGAAGCGCUAAAGAAGUCAAUAAGCAUGGAAAAUUAAGCUUCAGAGUAAGGCAAUACAAGUGAAUGAGAUUUCGUUUCUUGUAUAAAAGCAGAGAGUUUCCCAGCCCCAAAUUACUUAUUGCUGUGUUCUUUAGCUUAAACGACCUGGCUGCUGCUGCUGCUGCCUCACUCAAAAGCACUAAUAAAAUUGCCGUGGCUAGAGUCGUUAUUAUUUCCCCAAAUUGUUAGACCCUUUUCCCGCAGCUUGGCUAGCUCACUUGUCCAUAUAUCCACAAGCGCAGACGUUGUUGUUGCUGAUUAGAUCUUUAGAAGAAGAUAUCUUGAAUUAAUGUUUUUGAAUGUAAGAUGUUUUGAGAUAUCAAGAUUUUGAUGGCUGGAUGGGGUUUAUAAAGGACAUGAUCAAUUGUUGGUUUUGUUUUGAUUUUCAACGGCGCACACAUUUUGUUGUAUAUAGCGAUCAAGUAUUCAAGUUCAUAUGUCUCUUUCCUGCGGGCUUUAGCCUUUAAGAUGAAGUUAAUUAAAUAUACCAUUUUCGAUGGGGACAUGGCCAUGCCUCAAUAGCGCAGCAAAGUUAGAGGUACGUGUCAAUUUUAAAAUUGUAUAAUAAUUUCAUGAUAAUCAAAGUGGCUAAAACCAAUGUCUCUUACUCUCUUAAAUCCUACGUGGGUUACAAAAUUCACUCCAUUUUCUUUUAACAAUUGUUUGAGCAAAUAUUUCUAUAGGUUUCUUAGACUAUUAGAUGAUGGGUGCCCAAAAUCAAUUUUAAGAUUUUCCUACAGAGUGAGACUUUUGAUACCCUUUGAAUUCCUUAUAAAAUUCUUCCGUUAAGACCUAUUAAACUAUAACUAUUGUGAAAAAACUAUAACUUGAAAAUAAAAGUUAAUAUUGUAUCGUAAAUAUAAUUUUUAAGUAAUAAUUUUGAUAAAAAAUAAUAAAAAUAUUAUAGAUUUUUCAUCAUAUAAGUAGUGGAACAAAUCAACUUUAUUUUUAAGCUACGAUAGUAAGUACUGUAAUUUUUAAGUUAUUUCUACCCAAUCUUUAAACCAAACAAGGCCUAAGUGUAUUUCAUUAACGUUACAUAAGUAACUCACUCAUAAAUAUACGCAUUUUUAUUCUACAAAUAUCCUUCAUUCUUAUGUCGACCGGUGAAAAUGAUUUUGAUUCUCUUUCCUUGCACAUAAUAUUUUUAGAAAUAAUCAUCAAUAAUUAAUCCUCACUUAUACUAUUAUUCAUACUAAUGAAUUUCAUAUUGGAUAUAUUUGAACAGAUAGAAAUUGUGAGGCCCUACUUUCCUUGCAUAAUCUUAUUUUUGGCAUCUCAUCCACCUAAGUCUUUUUUCUUUUCUUUUUUUUAUCCUUUUCCUUUAAUCAACGGAAAUCUUAAAAAAAUAAAAACGGGACGUUCACUGUUUUGUAAUGGAAUUUUCGAGGGUAAAAAUGUCAAUAUAUCUAGAACUGGGACUUUAAAAACAUUACACGGGGGUGCUAAUAGCAGCUCUCUUACCUAAAAUGAAUUAGGCCCAAUGGUUUCUCUCAUCCAAGAUCUUGUUUUACUAUUAUUAUUAAAAAGGCCUGGAAACCUUACUCGUGACAACCCCGUCACAAAAUUAACCUAUUACAGGAUUCUGAUAGCUAUGUCCUGAUUUGUUUCUAUCGAUCAUUCAGUGAACAAACAAUUGAACACGUGUCCAAUGUUGGUGCCCAAAGUUGAAAUGAGGGCUAAUGAAUUUUUUCGACCAGUUUUUUUAAUAUUCUGUCAUUGGGAUAACUAUUUUUAUUUUUUGUUAUUGCAUUUGUGAACAUUGCUUUAUUUUUUUUCUUUUAUAAGUUAUGUGCUCUAUAAUCCCAUUCUAUUUCAUAUGACACGUGUUAAUUAAGUUUUCUCCUUAGGCAGAGUUUACAUUUUGGUUUAGUUAAUGUUUUCAAUUGCAAUCAUGAAUGAUAAAAAUCUUAAGAUUCAAUGAGAAAAAAAAUACUGCCUGUAUAUGUAUCUUUACAUAUUUGUGAACUUAUAAAAAUCUCUUUAACGUGAUAUUGCUUUUAAUUCCAUGCACAUGCAAAUCAAAUUUUCUAGAUUAAAGUUUAUUCACAUCAAUGACAAAAAAUUAACUCUAUGAUUUAAUUUCCCCAUUACCGUGACGUUUAUCUGCGCCACUAUUAUUGAUUUUUGCCUUUUCUGUUGGAUUAUUAUUACUUAACAAAGUCUUUAAAAUGUCGAUAAACAUUUUUUUUCCAGGGCCAAAUUUGUUUACUAGUAAGUGGUAAAUUUUGAUCCGAUUCAUAAUUUAAUUAGUUUCUUUUAGUUUGCUGAUUAAUUGUGGGAUAAAAUUUGUUCACUAGUAAGUGGUAAAAUUUGAUCCAAUUCAUAAUUUAAUUAGCUUCAUUUAGUUUGCUGAUUAAUUGUGCGAUAAAAUUUGUUCACUAGGAAGUGGUAAAAUUUGAUCCGAUUCAUGAUUUAGCUUCUUUUAAUUUGCUGAUUAAUUGUGCGAUUUCAAAUAUCUUAAUUUUUUUUUCUCCGUUGAAACUCGAUCGUAGGAAUCAUAUGAAGAUUCUGUUUGAAAUUGACGUAUUGUAACUUUUAAAAUUUUGUUACUAUAGAAAAAAAAUGUAAUUAUGAAGUAAAAAUUAGUAGUAUGUAGUAAAAUAUUUAAAUAAUAAUUUUAACAAAAUUAUUAAAGAUAUAAUAGAUUUUAUAUCAUACAAGUGAAAAAUCAUAUUAAGAUAACUUUCAAUAUACAGUAGCUAAUGUUUACUAAACACUUUAAUGCUGUAGUUUUUAAGUUACAAUUGUCCAAUCUCAAUUCCAAACAGACCCGAAAUCAAUGAUAUCGAAUUGGCUACACAACUUUCUGCUCUUGAUCUCAAUGUGCACGGAAAAAAGCAUGGAGAAGUUGCUAACCAAUCACUUUUUUUUUUUUUUGCUAAUUAAUAUUUUUAUUAGCUAAUGAAAACAUCAGCUAAUCAAUUAAUCAUUAUAUAUAUACAUGCAGUUGCAGAAUGAAGAUGAAGAACUUGCUAGAGCUAUCAAAGAAAGCCUCAAAAUCAUCUUAAAAUUCAAAAGGCAGUGAUUCAUCGGAAAAUUAAGUUAAAUUUUUUGAUAAAUUGAAGAAUUUUUCACAAUUAAUUAUUAACUAAAAGUUAAUUUUACAUGAAAUUUUUGAAUAAAUGACUUCACAUUAAUUGAUUGUUCCACUCCUUGGUUCACGUCUAGAAGCUCUAGUACAAUAGAUUGUGAUGUUUGCAAUAAGGAGGUAAGUAUAUAUAUAUAACAUGUUAAAUGCAAGGGAAAAUGACACCAAUACUCUCAAAUUUUAAAAAUAGAUACAUCAAUGAUCAAUCCUCUCAAAUUUGAUCCACAAUAGUUGACGCCGCGCAUGGUGCUUGUCCAUUCUCAUUUUGUGAAACUGAUCAUGCCACCAUGCAAACUUUAAAAAAUUUAAUAUGUUGGAUAUUCCGAACAAAUGAAAAGUACUUAACUGUAACACCCCAAAUCUAACACGUGCUGAGCACGUGAAGAAGGAGGUUACUAACAAAUCAUAAUCUUUACUCAUAAAUUUCAAACUGAAAUACCCCCAAUUCUUAUUCAAAAAAAAAAUCCACAAAUUCACAAGUCUAAUACUAAAUAAUCUCUCCCGAGGACAUAAAAAUAAUAACAAAAGUCUCAAACUCCAAAUUACACGUUCAUAAUAGAAAUAACUAAAUAGAAACACGAGUCUAUUCCUCCUCUUAUUCAAAUGGCAAACGGAAACGGAAAAUUACUACUUCAAAGCUAAGCGCACCUCUCAAAAGAGACUUAAUCUGCAAAAAGUAAUGACGAGGGGUGAGCCGUCAACUCGGUAAGUAAAACCAUUUCUAACACACUAGGCCUAUCAAUACCAAAAAUAUUGCAAGCCUUCUUUUAAUUAAAACAUAUAUUAUAAUCCAUAAUUUUCAUAAAACGAUAUAUCACGAUAAUAUAACAUAAAUUCUUAAUAAUUCAGAAUAUUCAAAAGCAUAUUUACUUACGAAGCAAAUCAUAUAAUACGUAUACAGAAAAUAAAAUGUUAGCUCACGUCACAUAGUGUCACCUAUAGUCCCGGUGACCCGGCCAGAAACAGAAUCAGAAUAUCGUGUGCACACUCAGAACAGAGACCCAGUAUUGGUCCAGACAGAUAUAUCAUAUAUUACGAUCAGAAUCAGAAUCAGAAUAACUAUGGACAAUGGGCCAAAACAUUAGGAAUCUCAUACAAUCAUCAAUAAUUGAAAUCAAACAUGGGUACAAAACAUUCGUAUCAAAUUCAUAAAAGUCCAUAUCAAUAAUUUAGGCUUGCAUAAUAUUUUAAAGAUAAAAUCAUAAAAAGUUGUCAUGUCAUAAAAUAAUUUACAUAUUAAAAAGCAUUUAUAAAAUACUUUGUUAAAAAGAAUUUAGGUUUGAAAACAUUUACAUAAAACUAAUUUUGUUAUCAAAAUCAAUUAAUCCUUUAAGUAGUAUAAAAACAUUUAUACUUAUAAUAAUAAUAUCAAAAUACUUAUACAUAUCCAGUAUACUAGGAAUGAAGUUACUUACCGAGUUGACGGCUCACCCCUCGUCAUUACUUUUGCAGAUUAAGUCUCUUUUGAGAGGUGCACUUAGCUUUGAAGUAGUAAUUUUCUGUUUCCGUUUGCCAUUUGAAUAAGAGGAGGAAUGAACUCGUGUUUCUAUUUAGUUAUUUCUAUUAUGAACGUGUAAUUUGGAGUUUGAGACUUUUGUUAUUAUUUUUAUGUCCUCGGGAGAGAUUAUUUAGUAUUAGAUGUGUGAAUUUGUGGAUUUUUUUUUUGAAUAAGAAUUGGGGGUAUUUCAGUUUGAAAUUUAUGAGUAAAGAUUAUGAUUUGUUAAUAACCUCCUUCUUCACGUGCUCCGCACGUGUUAGAUUUGGGGUGUUACAAUUGUGGUAUCAGAGCGCUAGGAUAGGAUUAUGUAGACUUUCUUUGAAAGUUUAAUUAGAUUGUCUAAUAGAAUUGAUUUCAUUUGUAUCUUGUGUGUUUGCCCGUUAUGCCGAUGUGCCUAUCACACCACUAGAUGUUCACGUGACAAUUAGUACCCCUAUGGGGGAUUGCCAGUUAAUAGAUCAUGUCUAUAAGUCAUGUGUGAUCAGAUUGUGUGAUAGAGAAUUCCUUGUGGAUCUCCAACCUUUAGAGAUGCACGAUUUUGAUUUGAUUUUGGAGAUGGAUUGGUUAGGACCUUACCAUGUUUCAAUAGAUUAUUUUGCUAAGGAAAUUAUUUUCCGCCUACUUGACGAGGAAUAAUUUCAUUUUCAAGGGAAUCAUAGAAGUCAUAAAGGUUUGAUUUCUAUGGUUAAGGCAAUGAAAAUGCUAAAGAAAGGGUGUGAAGGAUUUUUAGCGUAUAUAGUGAAAUGCAAGUAACGCAACCCAAGAGGGGGGGUGAAUUGGGUUUUUAAAAAUUAUGCAAUACAAUUCGCACAACAAAUCAAUCUAACGCCUUAAUGAAAUAGAAAACAAUAAAUUCAAACAAGCAUAAAAAUAAAAGAGUAAGGGAAGAGAAAAACAAACACACGGAUUUGUACGUGGUUCGGCAAUCCCCGCCUAUGUCCACGCCUCCAAGCCAACCAAGCUCGAUUAUUUCACUAUCCAAGCCUCCCAAGACUUCAAGUUCUUACAAUUGACUUCCAAGGUGUCAAUGAACCUUUACAAUCAAGAGAUUAUCUCCCCAAUCUCUUUACCCCAAGUGUUUCUCACACUUAUACACUCACAAUUUGAUAAGUAAUGAAAAUUAUAACAAAAACUCUCUUUAAGAGUGGAUAUACAAAUAAUAGCUCAACAAUGAUUCAAUCAAUGAUGAUUUACGUUUUGGAAGCUCAAUAUAUGUUAUAUGAUCUUAUAUUUGCUUGUAUUAGUUCUGAGAAUGAAGUUUGAGUUGAGUUUUUAUAGUUAAAGCCCGAAAACUAGCCGUUAUGGGCAAAUUCCCGCGCCCAAGCGGUUAGCCGCUUGAUUUAUCCGGUUAGCCGCUCAGGAACAGUGAUAUUACCGUUAUUUUUGAAUUUACUACAGUAUCACUGUUCACUAAAAUUAUAUUUCGGCCUAAAACUUUCUAUAAUUAUAAUACGGCCCAAAACGUCAUAAAACUUUUUAAAUAGGUCCAAUUUCAGAAAUUCUUAAAAAUAAUUCUUUUACCAAAACUUUAUGCAAUUAUGAUAUGACCCCAAAGAUAUUAUUAUUUCGCAAAAAGGUCUUAUUCAACAAAUAUCCAUAUUUUUCAAAGUUCUCAAAACCUUUCACUUUAGUCUAAAAUAUUCAUAAAUUAUAGUAUGGCCCAAAAAAUUUCAAAUGUUUGUAAAAAUGUCCAACUUCGAAAUUUAAUAAUAAUACUUAUUAAAAUCAAAGAUUUCAAAAACUUAGCAUUUAAGUCCAAAUUACUCAAAUUUACAAAAUACUUUACUUUAUAAAAAUAAAGUCUUUUAGUUUAUGAAAAGUAUUUAAUUAAAUUAAUCUCUUGAGCUUCUCAAAUGCUAAAUCAUGCAUCAAUUAAAUCAUACCAGUUUUACAAGAAUUUAUCGCACUAAUUUGUUCGUUGAGCUCUAAACUAUAUUCUUGAUGUUGCCGUUGUCCGUUGAGUGUCUUCAAUCUUGAUUUCACUUGAUUCAAUUGCAUAAAUAUUAUCCUUAAAAAACUAGUGAAAAUGUGAAAUACAAUAUUUAUUAUUUUUACUUAAGACACAUGUUUGUUAUCAUCAAAAUUACAUUAUGUGUAGCCCUUUAGGCUAACAAUCUCCCCCUUUUUGAUGAUGACAAACAUCUCAUGUAUUUUGACAUUAAACUCCCCCUUAAUACAUGGCAUACAUGACUUCAACUUAUAAAUAAAAUUUAAGAACAAACUCCCCCUAAAUAUAUUAUCUAUAACAAUUUGUAAACUCCCCAUUAAUAUUUCAUAACCGUGCACAAAUACUUUAAGAUCAAAAUACAUAUUAUAUGUCUUCAUAUUCAAAAUACAUGAUCUCUCCCCUUUCAUCAUCAAAAUUACUAGAAAUUAAUGCUAAGACCGAUAAUAUGUUAAUGGAUAAUCGAGAAACAUGAAUAUAUGGCCAAUUAAAAAUUUUAACCAAAAUGAUAUUAUCCAAAACCUUUUCAUAUUUAUCUCCCCCUUUAUAAGAAAAAUAAAAGAUAGAUAUAUGCAAUUUGAAACAAGAUCAUCAAAAAUAAUUCAAUGAAGAUAUUACCCAUUUUGUGCGAGCAAAAAUUUCGGCAGAGUCUCCCCUUAAAAAUAAACAAAUCCUCAAAUACACAACAUGGUUAAAAAUAAAGGUGGCCAAUGGGCCGGGCGGCACGUGGCACGGCACGGGCACGGCACGGCACGAGCACGUUUCGGUAAGGCACGAGGCACGGCACGGCACGCACGUGGGCCGUACCGGGCCUAGAAUUUUAGGCACGCGAGCCUUAAAGCACGGCACGAUUAGAGAUGGGCCAAAGCACGGCACGCGAAAAAGCACGUAAUAAGCACGGUUCAUUAGUGGGCUAGCACGCGGCCCGUGAGCCAUUAAUAGCACGUGGGCCAAAAUAUAUCUAAGUAAAUUUUUUUAACAAAAAGUAAAUAUAAAAUGUUAUGAAAUUAAAUGUUUUAAUAUAUUUUUUAGCAUAGACUUUUAAAAAUUAAUUUAAAUCAUUAAAUCUUAGUUUAAAUAAAUGAUUUGUUAUAUUAAUAUUUCGUAGUUAUGACUUAUUGUAAUGAUUAUUCGAGGAUUGUAUUUUUAAUUUUAAUUAAUUAUUAUUAUGAUCUAUGGAAUUAUUAAAUUUAUGUAUUGUUGUGUUAUGAAUUAUGAUUGAUUAUUGUGAAAUAAAAUAUAUAGUUGUGAAAUUGUGAUAAACUAAUAAUAAAAUGUUAAUUGCUCUCUUAAUAAAAAUUAAUAUGAUUAUGAUUGUGAAUAUUAUUAUUAUUAUUAUUAUUAUUAUUAUUAUUAUUAUUAUUAUUAUUAUUAUUAUUAUUAUUAUUAUUAUUAUGAUUAUGUUGGUGGGCUUAAAAAAGCACGUCAGGCACGUGGGCUUGAAUAAAGCACGCUAGGCAUGUGGGCUUUUUAAAGCACGCUAAAAAAAAGAAAAAGUUGGUGGGCUUUUUUUGGGCACAGCCCACGGCACGGCAUGAGCACAGCACGAGCGGGCUCGUGCCGUGGGCCGUGCCGGGCUCAAUUGAAAAAAAUGUAGGCACGGCACGGCCCAUUGGCCAUAGUUAGUUAAAAAUACUUUCAUAUAAACUUAAACAAUUAUAACAAACCAACAACUCCAUCAAUUCUUCAAGCGACACACAUAUAAUCAUCAAUCAUCAAAUUCAAUAUGAAUUCCCCUAACACUUGAAACAAGUUUAUCCAAGGAUCCCAUAAUCAUAUUCGAAUAAAAUACCUUAACUAAAUUUUCAUAGUAUUGCUCCUUAAUAACUAAAACAUUUUUCCAGCCCAUAGCGAUGAGAAAAUAACUAAGAGAUUUGUCACAAAUUUUUAAAAUUUUCAAAUUACGAAGAUUAACAAAAUAGGGAGCGAUAACCGACCUCGACAUAAAAUUGUCGUGAAGCCGUUUCCAAAGAAGUAGAUGCUGAAAGUGGGUUGAUAUGAACUCCGUAUUAUCUCCAUAAUCGUCCUUGCGUCUCUUGGCAACUUGUUUGCUCUUGGAUUUUUCACCACCCACCAUUGUUGGAACAAAAACAAGCUUAAAGAUCCAAUUUCGGGUUUACAAAAAAUUGAGUGAAAUGGAUUUGUUUGAGCCAAGAAAAUCGAUCCUAGAGAUGAAUGAAGCUAAUAUAUGAUGUAGAUUGGAUAAAAAAUGGGCUAAAGGAAGCUUGAAAAUGAAGAGAGAGAAACGGGUAGAGUAAGGUUUUUUAUUUUGGGUUUUAUGUGGAGAGUUGAUGAAAUAAAGUUUUAAGAACGAAAAUUGAAGGAGUGAUGAAUAAAUAAUGAUUUGGAUGAUUGAUUUUAACAAGAAAAUGAGUAAAAGAUGAAGAAAUUUGAGAGACAAAUGGAGAAGUAUUGUUCACGCGUGAGAGAUGAUGAUGAAAUGAUGAAGAACAAGUGAAGAAAUGAUGAUUGGGAAGUGUUUAAUGAGAGGUUAAAUACAUGGGCAAUGGUUUUAAAGAUUUGAUCUUGCCAUGAAAAAGAGUGAGAAAUGAAGAAAUAUUAAGUGGAAAUGCAGGGGAUAUGUUCGGCUUUGAGAGAGAAUGGAGAGAGGUUGAAGAACACAUGAAAAAGAGGGGGAAAAUCUCUUAAACCCGUGACCAAGCAGCUAACCGCUUGGGGGCAAGCGGCUAGCCGCUUGCUCUCGAGUUUGAGCAGAUUUCAAGCGGCUAGCCGCCUGGUUUCUACUCCUCUGCACCAAUUUGCUGUCCGGCUGAAAUUUGAGCAAUCCGGAGACCAUUUCGUGAUCCCGAAACAUCUCAAGAGCCAAUUGUAACACCCCAAAGAUUAUGAUUUGUUAGUAACCUCCUUCUUCACGUGCUCCGCACGUGUUAGAUUUGUGAUUUUGGGGAUGGAUUGGUUAGGACCUUCCCAUGACGGUUUCUGUGAUUUUUAUAAAAUAAAAUACUAAUCAGAAAAUUAUGAAAUUAAAACUGGGAAUCCUAGACAAAUAUUUUAACCUACAUAUAAACUUUCAGAAUUUUCCGAGUUCAUUUGGUGGUACAAAUAAUCUUGUGAAUCCGAUCGCAAUGCUAGAAUUGCAGUUUUCCAGUGCAGUGGUUUCUAUUUCGUAAAUACAUAUAAAAUUGAAAACGAAGUCGAAUUUAAUGAAAUAAAAUUUUCUCAAGAAGCCCUACAUGUCUAGUUUCCAGAAAUAUAAAUUUUAUAAGAAAACUCGUUCAGAAAAUAUAGGUUUAAAUUCAAGAUACUCACGCUGUCCAGAAUUAUCCUGUGCUUAAUACGUCAAGGAUUGAUUAACUAAACUCAUAAUAAAACAAAACCCUAAACAACACCUAAAUACAUUCUAAAUCAUGCAUUAUGAUCUAUAACCAUCUAGAAUCGUGCCAAUAUAAACCCUAGAUAGAGUGAUUAGAAAUCUGUUGAGAAUAGGGAGAAUAACUUACCCGUCGCUUUGAUUCUCUCCUAAACAAAUGUUUGAAUCCUAGGAUUUGGGUAGGAGUGUAAAGAGCAGUAGAGAAGCAGAAUAAACGUCGUGGACUUAGGGUUAUGGAAGGGGAAAAAGUAUGCAUUUAUAGGGAGUCUUAAGAAACCCUAUUUAAUAAGAAAAAAAUAACCCUUUUUCAAAACUAUCUCAUAAAUAACCUCUAUUUAUAAUUUAGUAUCCCUUUCUUAAUAAGGGUUAUAGGCCACCCAUAAUUAUCAAUAAAAGCCCAAUUUCCAUAAUUUAAUAUUAUGGAAAUUUGUGGCGUUACAAUUUUUUGUGGCGUUACAAUUUCUCCCCUCCUAACAAAAAUUUCAUCCUUGAAAUUAAAAGGUUACCUUACGCAUGGAAGAGUUAAGGAUACUUCUCCAACAUUUCUGUUUCUCGCUCCCAUGUGGCUUCCGCAAUAGAAAGAUUCAUCCAUCGUACCUUCACUAGGGGAAUAACUCUAUUCCUUAAUACUUGUUCGUUUCGAUCGACAAUCUCAAUGGGUUGUUCCUCAUACGACAUGUCUUCAAUUAUCUGAAUCGGUUGAUAGUCUAGCACAUGUGAAGGGUCUGCAAUGUACUUUCUUAACACAGACACAUGAAAUACAUUGUGAAGCCUAGACAGACUUGGUGGUAAAGCUAUGCGAUAGGCCACCGGACAAAUUCUCUCUAAAAUCUCAAACGGUCCAAUAAAUCUAGGGCUAAGCUUCCCUUUCUUCCCGAACCGAAACACCCCUUUCCAUGGCGAUACUUUCAAGAAAACAAAAUCUCCUUUUUCAAAUUCCAACUCACGUCUACGACGAUCUGCAUAACUCUUCUAUCUGCUCUGAGCUGUUUGAAGAUGUUCUCUAAUCAACUUGAUUUUAUCAACAGUAAUCUGUACUAAUUCUGGACCCAAAAGUUUUCUUUCACCAACCUCAUCCCAGCAAAUUGGGGACCUACACUUUCUUCCAUAUAAUGCCUCAAAUGGUGCCAUGCCAAUACUCGAAUGGAAGCUAUUGUUAUAAGCAAAUUCGAUCAACGUUAGGUGCUCUUCCCAACCACUACUCAAGUCUAGUACACAAGCUCGAAGCAUAUCCUCAAGGGUUUGAGUAGUCCUUUCGGAUUGUCCAUCUGUCUGUGGAUGGAAAGUAGUGCUAAAUCUCAAUUUCGUCCCCAACUCUUUAUGUAAGCUAGCCCAAAAUCUUGAAGUGAAUAGUGGAUCCCUAUCAGACACUAUUAAGACUGGAACUCUAUGAAGCCUUACUAUCUAUUUAAUGAAUAACUUAGCUAGUUGCCCUACAUUGUCUGUACUCUUCUUUGCCACGAAAUGAGCCGAUUUCGUCAAUCGAUCGACAAUUACCCAAAUGCAAUCACAUCCCCUCCUAGAACGAGGUAAUCCAGAGACGAAAUCCAUUGUUAUGUGUUCCCAUUUCCACUGAGGAAUAGGAAGCGUUUGUAAAGUUCAUGCUGGUCUUUGAUGUUCGAUCUUAACUUGUUGGCAGACUAAACAUCGAGACACAAAAGCAGCAAUAUCUCUCUUCAUAUUCCUCCACCAAAAACUCUGCUUUAGAUCACGAUACAUCUUAGUACUACCAGGAUGCAUACUGUAAGAUGAUUCAUGCGCUUCUCUUAAGAUUUCUCCCUUCAACUCUUCGUCUGCUGGCACGCAUAGCCUUUGCCCCAACCAUAAUGCAUCCCCAUUAUCAAGUCUAAAUCCGGGCUUAUGUCCUUUGUUCACAUCUUCACGGAUUUUAUUGAGUUCUAUGUCGUUCUUUUGAAAAAAUUGAAGGGAAAUAGAUAAAGUUAAGGAUUUGAUUUUAUUUUAGGAGGGGAGAAAUUGUAACGCCACAAAAAAUUGUAACGCCACAAAUUUCCAUAAUAUUAAAUUAUGGAAAUUGGGCUUUCAUUGAUAAUUAUGGGUGGCCUAUAACCCUUAUUAAGAAAGGGAUACUAAAUUAUAAAUAGAGGUUAUUUAUGAGAUAGUUUUGAAAAAAGGUUAUUUUUUUCUUAUUAAAUAGGGUUUCUUAAGACUCCCUAUAAAUGCAUACUUUUUCCCCUUCCAUAACCCUAAGUCCACGACGUUUAUUCUUCUUCUCUACUGCUCUUUACACUCCUACCCAAAUCCUAGGAUUCAAACCUUUGUUUAGGAGAGAAUCAAAGCGACAGGUAAGUUAUUCUCCCUAUUCUCAACAGAUUUCUAAUCACUCUAUUUAGGGUUUAUCGAAAAUAUAGGUUUAAAUAUGUGUCUAGGAUUCCCAGUUUUAAUUUCAUAAUUUUCUGAUUAGUAUUUUAUUUUAUAAAAAUCACAGAACCCGUCAUGGUAAGGUCCUAACCAAUCCAUCCCCAAAAUCACAAAUCUAACACGUGCGGAGCACGUGAAGAAGGAGGUUACUAACAAAUCAUAAUCUUUACUCAUAAGUUUUAAACUGAAAUACCUCUAAUUCUUAUUUUUUUAAAAAUCCACAAAUUCACACGUCUAAUACUAAAUAAUCUCUCCCGAAGACAUAAAAAUAAUAACAAAAGUCUCAAACUCCAAAUUACACGUUCAUAAUAUAAAUAACUAAAUAGAAACACGAGUCUAUUCCUCCUCUUAUUCAAAUGGCAAACGGAAACGGCAAAUUACUACUUCAAAGCUAAGCGCACCUCUCAAAAGAGACUUAAUCUGCAAAAAGUAAUGACGAGGGACAAUUGUAACACCGCAAAUCUAACACAUGCGGAGCACGUGAAGAAGGAAGUUACUAACAAAUCAUAAUCUUUACUCAUAAGUUUCAAACUGAAAUACCUCCAAUUCUUAUUAAAAAAAAUCCACAAAUUCACACGUCUAAUACUAAUUUAUAAAAUGUGUGUAAAUUAGUAUUAAAUUGUAUGGAAGAAAUUCACAAUUCACAAUUCUUGUGUCCUUUGUUCACAUCUUCACGGAUUUUAUUGAGUUCUAUGUCGUUCUUUUGAAAAAAUUGAAAGGAAAUAGAUAAAGUUAAGAUUUUAUUUUAUUUUAGGAGGGGAGAAAUUGUAACGCCACAAAAAAUUGUAACGCCAUAAAUUUCCAUAAUAUUAAAUUAUUAUGAACAAGGGUUAUACUUAUAAUAAAAACAUUAAUCCUUUAAGUAGUAUAAAAACAUUUAUACUUAUAAUAAUAAUAUCAAAAUACUUAUACAUAUCCAGUAUACUAGGAAUGAAGUUACUUACCUCGACAAAUGAAUUUGAAUAAACACAUCUCUAAGCUUCUAAGAGCCUCAAUCACCUUCAAUACCUUAAACAAAUACAAGAUAUGACAAUUAAUAACUUAUUCUAAGAAUCUGAUUUUCUAAUUCAUACCUGUACAAGUCUGAUUCUCAGAAUUUUAACUCUUAAUCUAAAACUCAGAAUGAUAUAAUAUUCUAUGAAACUAUUCUGGACAUCCAUGAGUACCCCAUGUAAAAUUUGCAAGAGGAUUCGAUAUCAAAAGCAUUUUCAAAACUAUUUAUUUCUCAACAAAUUCGAAAUUGUUUUCACAUAAUCUAAACCAAACAGAACGGGUUUUGUGAUUUUUAUAAAAUAAAGUACUAAUCAGAAAAUUAUGAAAUUAAAACUGGGAAUAUCCCAGACACAUAUUUUAACCUACAUAUAAACUUUCAGAAUUUUCCGAGUUCAUUUGGUGGUACAAAUAAUCUUGUGAAUCCGAUCGCAAUGCUGGAAUCGCAGUUUUCCAAUGUAGUGGUUUCUAUUUCGAAAAUACAUAUAAAAUUGAAAACGAAGUCGAAUUUAAUGAAAUAAAAUUUUCUCAAGAAGCCCUACAUGUCUAGUUUCCAGAAAUAUAAAUGUUAUAAGAAAAAUCGUUCAGAAAAUAUAUGUUUAAAUUCAAGAUACUCAUGUUGUCCAGAAUUAUCCUGUGCUUAAUACGUUAAGGAUUGAUUAACUAAACUCAUAAUAAAAAAAAAACCCUAAACAACACCUAAAUACAUUCUAAAUCAUGCAUUAUGAUCUAUAACCAUCUAGAAUCAUGCCAAUAUAAACCCUAGAUAGAGUGAUUAGAAAUCUGUUGAGAAUAGGGAGAAUAACUUACCCGUCGCUUUGAUUCUCUCCUAAACAAAUGUUUGAAUCCUAGGAUUUGGGUAGGAGUGUAAAGAGCAGUAGAGAAAAAGAAUAAACGUCGUGGACUUAGGGUUAUGGAAGGGGAAAAAGUAUGCAUUUAUAAGGAGUCUUGAGAAACCCUAUUUAAUAAGAAAAAAAUAACCCUUUUUCAAAACUAUCUCAUAAAUAACCUCUAUUUAUAAUUUAGUAUCCCUUUCUUAAUAAGAGUUAUAGGCCACCCAUAAUUAUCAAUGAAAGCCCAAUUUCCAUAAUUUAAUAUUAUGGAAAUUUGUGGCGUUACAAUUUCUCCCCUCCUAACAAAAAUUUCGUCCUCGAAAUUAAAAGGUUACCUUACGCAUGGAAGAGUAUUAUUUGUUCACAUCUAGAAGCUCUAGUACAAUAGAUUGUGAUGUUUGCAAUAAGGAGGUAAGUAUAUAUAUAUAACAUGUUAAAUGCAAGGGAAAAUGACACCAAUACUCUCAAAUUUUAAAAAUAGAUACAUCAAUGAUCAAUCCUCUCAAAUUUGAUCCACAAUAGUUGACGCCGCGCAUGGUGCUUGUCCAUUCUCAUUUUGUGAAACUGAUCAUGCCAUCAUGCAAACUUUAAAAAAUUUAAAAUGUUGGAUAUUCCGAACAAAUGAAAGUACUUAACAGUGAGCUCUAUGUAUCCAUUCUGGAAUAUCAGAAAUCUAAUAGCACAUUUGGACAAGACUGGUGGGGUCUAAGUUUCAUUUUCCUAAAAUUAAUUUGUUUCGGUUCAAAUUUCAACAAUACUAAAAUAUUAUUACUUUUUCCAACAGUUAUAGCCAAGCAUGAAUUAUUGUGACCAUGAGCUUUGGAAUCUGCGUUUUUGCUACGACCAUUUUAGUGAUGGGACUCCAGUCUGCUGCGGAUGCGUUCGAGUCUUAAUAAGUUGACGACUUAAAUUUGGGUGCAUUUGAUUGAAGAUGUAUGUAUGUAUAUAAAAGACGCAUAUAUACUUUAAAAUUUUAAAAAAAGAAAAAAAAUGUUUCUAUUUUUGACUUCGUAUUAAAAGGAAAACAUAUACAAUAAAAUUUAAGAUUUAAAUAUUGUUCAUAUCAAAGUUAAUUUUAAUAAAAAUAAAAUUCUCUAUUGUGUUUACUUUCUGGAGUGGGAGUGUAGAGUGUGGAUUUCUCUCACUCCAGUGUUUACUUAUCAUUUUUAAGGGGGGAGUGGGAUUCCCACUCCCAUGGGGGGAGGUGGGAGUGGGAAUCCACUUCCCCAUCUUCCCUUUUUACCCUCAUAAUUAAAAUAAUAUUUAAUAAAAUAAAUAAUAUCAUAUUUAUUAAAAAUAAUAAUUAUAAACAUAUUUAUUUUAUUAAAUUUAAUAAAAUAAAAAUAAAUAAAUAUUAUAUUUAUUUAAAUAAUAUUAUUAUAUUAUUUUAUAAAUUAAAUUCAUUAAAAAUAAUAUUAUUAAACAUUAAUUUUAAUAUAUAUUAAUUAUUUAUUUAAUUAAUAAUAAAUAUUUUAUUCUAAGAAAAUAUUAAUUUUGUACUAUAUUAUCAAUAAUAAUGUUUCAUUUGUGUUGCUAUUAUUAAUAAUUUUUAUUCACAUAAUUUAAAUUUAAAUUAAUUAAAAAAUUAUGAUUUACAUAAUUAAGAAUAUUAAUAAUUAUUAUUAUUUUAAAAAUAUAAUAAAAUAUUUAUUUUAUUUUUUAAAUAUAUUUUUUAUUAAUUUUUUAAUUACAAAUUAUAAUUCUUUAAAUAAAAAUAAAAUUAUAAUUUAAAACUAUUUACUCCUAAUCCAAGACAAUGUAAACACAUAAAUUGGAUUCUGGUUUCAAUUCCAUUCUCUCAUUCCAAUGUAAGUAAACAACCUACUCUCACUCCCACUCCACACUCUCAAUCUUAGGAUUUCCACUCCUCAAGAUUCCCACUCCAAUCCAAAAUGUAAACGCUACCAUAGUGUAGUGAUCGAAUUUACAAUUUUUUUAUUUCGGUGAUGGUCGAACAAUCAGAACUGAUUGUUAUUCUACAUCGAUCAAAUAUACACAACCAAUUGAACCUCUUCUAAAUAAUGUGCUGAGAUGUAAAAGGCAUGAAAAUUGAGGAGCAAGUUCCCGUUUUCUCGGUCACAAGAAUUAAGAUGAGGAGACAUGCAAGUCAAGGCUUGGGGUAACUAUUUCAAUAUAUAUCAAUGAUUUUAUUCAUUUUUUUUCAUUAUUUUACGUGGAAAGAAUUUAAAGUCAUUAUAUUAAUUCAAUUAUGCCAAAAUAAAAAUCUAUUAUUGAGGUGUAAUACUUUUACAGGUUAACUAUAUAUUUUUUUUCUUUUUUGGUCUUUACCGCAUAUAAAUGAUUUAUGAUUAAUGUCGGAGCCAAUACUAUUCUUUUUUUUUUCUUGUUUAGCAUCCUAGUGGAUUCUAUUCCAAAUUAAAGUAUUUAUUUAAACUGAAUUAUAUAUGUAUUGACCUCUUACUUUCAUUAAAAGAGAAAAAAAUGAAUUAGUAUUUAGAGAUUUCGAGCUACUACUUACAUAUGUUUGUAUAUAUUUUGCUCUAAAUGAGGGAUAUAUUUUCGAAAUUUACUUAAACCAUUAUCUACUACUUGUGCAAACAGCCUAUUCAUCCAAAUGCCAUAGUAUUUGGACUAACUCAUGUACUUCCAUAUGGUAGCGUCGAUCUCUGAAGCGUAAGUAACUUUAUCAAUUUAUUUUUUCUUUAAUUUCUUGAAAAUGGUAUACAUAUGUAGAUGUCAUCUUAUUCAAAUGUUUGUAAACGAACUUGAAGUGAAACCAUAAAAAACAAUGUUAUUUGAUAACAAUCAAAUGAUGCUUUGGAUUAACUUUUCUUGCAUAUAAUAAUGCCCCCUCAUUUUGUCGGUGACUUUUUUUUAAAAAAAUGUUGCGUGGGUUUAUCAUAGAAUUAAAUAAAAGGAUGAUAUAAAAAAUGAGACAAAGAGAAUUUACGUGAUUUAUCACUUGAUUUACGUCCAUGAAUAUAAAAAGAAUAAUUUUUUAUUAUUGAAUCAAAAUUAUAACAAAGCAUUUUUUUUUGUCUAACUACUUGCUCGUGCCCCCAUGCAUCAAGUGUUCUUUAUUUAUAAUAUAGUUCCAAUUUCCUAAGUUAUCCACGAUUCUUUGUUUUGAUUGGCUUUUAUUACUUAAUUUAGAGUUUCAUCCAAUAUCAGAAUCAUCUCCAUCUAAAAUUUAGCUUUAUCUAAUAUUAAUACUUAUUUUCAGCAUUUUCUCUCUUUUUAAUUGGGUUUAAGUUUUAGGAGCUUCUAGAUUCUUUUACUGGUCUUAGAUAAUGCUUCCAACUACCUGAUCCUAGUUGUUGGAUUUAGUAGCUAGGCAUUCUUUUAAGCAUACUCACCUCCCACAGUUGAUUUCUCAUGCUAUCAUGUACCCGAGCUUAAUUGACUUUGUAAGCUUCCUACUGAGCUUGCAUGCUCCCAUUCUCACGUGCUCUUAUGCUCAUGUGCUCGCAUGCUCACAUGCUCUUGUUCUCUCAUGAAGUUGAGUUUAAUUGACUUAUUAAGCUUCCUACUGAGCUUGCAUCUCUCAUGGUCUCAUGCUUUCAUACUCUAAUGCUAGCAUACUUAUAUGCUCUCAUGCUUUCAUGUAGUUGAGCUUAAUUGACUUAUUAAGUUUCCUAUUGAGCUCUCAUGCUCCCAUGCUCACUUGCUCUCAUAGUCUCAUGCUCACAUUAUUUGACUUGUUACAUUUCUUCUUAGAACAUUAUUUAAAUAUAAAUUUUUUUGUUUAUUUUAAUUGAAUCCGUAUUUUAAAAGACGUGGACGAUUCUUAUUAUAAGAUAACCGCUAAUCUGCAUAUAUAUAUAUAGAAUGCAGGAUUUUAAAGUGUGGGAAAGUAUGAGAAAUCUUUAAAAUCAUGCGGUUUUAAAGUGUUAACUUCAUAAUGCUUUAAAACCGUGUAAUUUUAAAAUUUUCUCGUACUUUUUCGCACUUUAAAAUUCUGGACCAGAAAACUACUAUAUAUAUAUAUAUAUAUAUAGAGAGAGAGAGAGAGAGUAUAUGUAUUGUUAGGAAAUUGAUGGGUGAAGCAGGGCCACAACUAAAAUGAAAUUGGAAGAAAAAAAAAAAAGAACAAGCAGAAAGAGGAUACCAGGAAAUUACGUGGUUCGGUUUUAGCCUACGUCCACAGGCGAAGACAAAAGAAAAAUAUUUCACUAGUGAUACGAGGAUUACAAAUAUUAUAAUAUUUUGGCUCACUACCCAGAACCCCAAUACAUCCAAUCUCUCACUCACUAAUUACACAAGAGUAUUAAAACUCUUAAUCUCUCACACAACUCUUUCUCUUUUACAAAACAGAGAAGAAAAACAUAAGUAAAAUGGAAUAAAUAAAAUGAGGAGGGAGCCUCUCUAUUUAUAGCCAAAGUUUUGGCCAUUAUUUAUUAUUAUUUUUUUCUCACCAUCAUUAUCUUCUUCAAACUUCUUCCUUCUUUUUUCUCCUUCAAACAUUUACAGCUUCUAGAUUGCGGCUCCUUCUUCUCCCUUCUUCUUUUGUUUUCUUUGAUUCAAAGAAUGCAGCAACAGCCGCAUUCUUCUUCAAUAAUGGCAGACACCACCUUCUAGAAAAGGUGGUGCUUGGCUGUCAUUUUUCCACAUGUAUAUAUAUACAUAAAAUUCUUCACUAAGGGGAAGACACACACACACACAAGCUCUUCACUAAGGGGAAGACAAGUUAUUUUGGAGGAAAAGGAUUAUCAAGUAACUGGACGCAAAGCGCGAAAACAAUGGCUCUAUAUGGUUUGCCCAUGUACAUACUAUAUCCAUCUUAACUUUACUAAUUUAACCUUAACUAAGUUUUUUUGAAGUGUAUAAUUGUCAUCGUACAGACAAUUAACUAAUUGAAUGUUUGUAAAACGUACUCGAUAUUUCAUUAUUUUAAUUUUUGAGAAUCAAACUUACAGGUGCAUGACUGGCGGGGUUUUGGCUCAUGAAAUGAUGCAUGCAUGGUUUGGAAUUCAAGGUCAGACUUAAUAAUAUUAUUAUUAACUUCAUAGCAACUAGGGGUUUAACUAAUAUGACAUAGAAACCAUAUAGGAUAGAAUAAAUUAGGAAUUCUAGAUUUUGAGUCAAUUUAUUAUUUUAUUAGGAUUUAUUUUAUUUUAAUAAGCUUAUUUGAGUCAUAUUUGUAACUUUAGUUUAAUUAGGAUUUUAGAUUAUUUCUUUCAUUUGAGAAGUAUUGGGAUGAAGUUAGCUAUGAAUAUAUGUAGGCUUGUUAUUAAUAGUUUAUUGUAACACUUUUGAGCUUUUCAUCAAGAAAUAUCUUAGAUUAUUCUCUUUGAGUUUAUCUUUUUCAUUAAUUCGACGUUUUCUCUCUUUGAGAACUAUUAUUUCUUGAGUUUCAAGAACGUUUAAUAGAAAGAUAUCCAAUGUCGGUUCUAGACAAGUAGCAUCAGGGCCUUUCUCUAUGUCAAGCUGCGCUUUCGUGAUCAUCAACUACCCUACAUACACAAAUCCUUCCUCUGUCAUCCAUUAAAUCCACCGAUUCCACCAAUUCCUAUAUGCCUCCUACAUCAUAAUGAAAUGAUGCAUGCAUGGUUUGGAAUUUAAGGUCAGCCUUAAUAAUAUUAUUAUUCGCUUCAUAGCAGCAAGGGUUUAAGCUAAUGAAAAAAUGAUGCAUGCAUGUUUUGGAAUUCAAGAUUAGCCUUAAAAAUAUUAUUAUUAGCUUCAUAGCAACUAGGGGUUUAUCUAACGAAAUGAUGCAUUCAUGGUUUGGAAUAAUUCAAGGUCUACCUAUUAGCAUCAUAGCAACUAGAGUUUAACCUAAUGAAAAAAUUAUGCAUGCAGGUUUUGGAAUUCAAGGUUAGCCUUAAAAAUAUUAUUAUUAGCUUCAUAGCAACUAGGGUUUAAGCUAAUGAAAAAAUGAUGCGUGCUAAUUCAAUAGUAUUAUUAUUGGCUUCAUAGCAACUAGGGUUUAAGCUAAUGAAAGAUGCGUGCAUGGUUUGGAAUUCAAAGUUAGCCUUAAAAAUAUUAUUAGUUUCAUAGCAACUAGGGGUUUAUCUAACGAAAUGGUGCAUUCAUGGUUUGGAAUAAUUGAAGGUCAGCCUUAAUAAUAUUAUUAUUAGCUUCAUAGCAACUAGGGUUUAAGCUAAUGAAAAAAUGAUGCAUGCAUGGUUUGGAAUUCAAGGUUAGCCUUAAAAAUAUUAUUAUUAGCUUC